rnacentral:lncRNA from 1 species
CAUGAGCUAGAACUUAGCUGUUGGUGAGUCUCUAGUUUUGGCUGGACAGGGGAUGAUACAGUCGUGCUGGAGAGGCCACAUGAGCUCAAGUUGAGUGGCCGAUGAGUCUGCACUGGUUUUGGGUAAAAAUGGGUUGUGCUGGAUUGGCUGCAUGAGCUAGAACUCAGUUGUUGGUGAGUCUCUAGUUUUGGCUGGACAGGGGAUGAUACAGUCGCGAUAGAGAGGCCACAUGAGCUCGAGUUGAGUUGAUGAUGAGUCUGUAGUGUUGGCUGAAGACGUGAUGCACCACUUGUUUUGGAGUGGGUGAAUGGGUUAGAGCUAGAGCUAGAGUUAGAGCUAGAGCUCAGUGGAGGCGUAGGAUGAGUCCGUAGAUUUGUCUGCAAUGUGUAGUCCCUACAUGAUCCUAAACUCGGUGGAGAAGUAAUUGGAUUUGGUUGCAACGCAGGCCUUGAGCUUGAAGAGUUGGUGUCUGAGCCCAAUCUCGGUGGAGAAAUCAGGGGUAGUCUUUCACUUGGCUUCUUUUUAUCAUCUUUUUCACCCCACAACCAGCGAAUAAUAAUGGAGAGAAUUUGACCCAUUGAAUCACCCGUCCCCCUUCUUUUUCUUCUUUUUCUUCUUCUUCUUCAUCUAGGAGCCUGUAAACAUAGAAAUGUCCCUUGUCAUGAAAACCAUGCGGGCGUGCACUGCAAUGUCAAUGGACUUGACACAGGUCCCACCAACAUUGCAUUAAAUUUUCCUUCUCGGACAAGUAAGAUAAGGAAUGCCUCUGCCACAUACUGUUGAGAAAUAUAAGAAGAUAUUACCCACAAAGCCUAUCAUGUUAAAUCAGGUAUCAUUUCAUAUCAAAUCAUUGUAGCCUGCUUGACUACUCCAAUUCCCAAGCCUUUCUCCUCCUUUUUGAAUGUUGAUUCCAUCAAUGUCUAGUUUCUAGUGAUCUAGGGUUGGGUGAGUCUUUCUCUGCCAUAUCAGACUGAGACAUUAAUAAUGGGAUUCUUUUUUUCUUUUCAAAUCAAUAUGACUCAAAUGCAACAUUCAUUCUAUUCGGGAUUCAAAUUGUCAACAAAUGAACCAAAAAUCAUCUUCACAGCCAAAUCUACAACUACUAAACAUCUUUUCCCUGUAAAACUAGUAAAAUUUCCAUCCAGACAUGUUGAUUAACUAUAGAAGAACAUGCUUCUGCAUUCAUCCCCAUCUAAGUUCAGCAUUUUAGCAGAAACUCAAUAUGAAAAAACAGAAUGACAGAAAGGGUAAAAGGGCGUCAAUAUCAAUACCAUGAAUGCAGAUGAGCUUGUGGAUGAUGAGAGCUUUGUUGAGACCAGAGAUCAAAGCUCCCAAAUCAGAGUUUUCCCACCAAAGAUCGGACGAGAUCAAACACUAGUGAUGCUUGGCUUGCAGGAGAUCCAUCAGUGUUGGGUGUGAGAGAUGAGAGUUGUCCUGAGAGUGAAGGGGGAGCAAUAUCAGAAGGUAAAGAAGUUUCCCAUGAUUCGUACGUCCAAAGACUUGGUUGGACUUGGCCAUUUUUAUGCUACGUGGAGGCACUCUAUUCGGAUUAAUAAAGUGAUAAAAGAAAAAAAUUAGGAAAGAAGUCCAUUGCAUCAAAGAAUUUGAUACCCAAAGUCAUGGAAGUAAUUAAAACAGAUUGAUGAUGAUGAUGGUUGUACCAAACAGCAUUUGAUACCCAACCCACCAAUCAUAAAAUUCAGUGACAUGGGAGUGUAUAAAGCAAAAUAAGAUAUACUAAAAUUAUUUUAAAAUACUUUAUAUUUCCAAAUAAUCUUUUAUUUGGGGAAAUGAAAACAAAGUUGAAGAAUUAUUCUAAAACAAUUUAUUCAUUUUAAGAUUUUUUUUUUCUUUCACUUGGUAAAUAUAUCAUAAUUUUAAAAAUUAUUCUAUUAUUUAAUUUGUAUUAUUUAAUACUUAUCAUUAUAAAAAUAAAUAUGCACUUAAAUAUUUAUAAAAAUAAACAUUACUUAUUUUUUGUAAAAAUUUUCAUAAAGCUUACCGUUGGUCUAGCGAUACCAAUCUCUUUGUUUAUUGCUGCCUUUUAGGUUUGAUUUCUCAUACUCCUCUUUUCUACAUAUACCCAUCCCACAUUGAAACCUUAUACAAACAUUUCCUACCAUAGAUUACAUAUGAGCUUGGCAUAGAAAUUAGUUACUUAUAAUGUGGCCCAUCAAAAUAAAUGUAUUUGGGCUGUACAGCUUUUAGGGCUACAAAAGGUGUUAAUUUUGCCGGUCAAAUUUUGAAAACAUUUAGAAUCAAUAGAGGGGUUCACAUUUUCUGUACAAAAAUAUUCUUAAUUUUUGUGUAUUCUUCGAUAAAGAACUCUAUGUAUUUUCAAUAAAGUUGAAAUCGUACAACAUAUUCUUAAUUUGAGGCAUUGACAUAUUAUGGACCCUGCAUUUUGACUCAUGCGCUUCCACUCGAAUGGCGUGACUCGUUUUUCUAUUUUGAAAAAAUGAUUUAUUAUUAUUAUUAUUUUUUUUAGAAAAUGACUUAGAAUCGCUACUUAUUUUUGUUUUAUUUUUAAAGGGUAAAUAAAAUAAGAAAGAAAAACUCUAAGUAUGACCCAUUAUUUGGAAAAGGUGGUCUGUGAAAACCAAAAAUGGGUUCGGGGGUUCAAUUACUUAUCAAGAAGGUAUGAUAAAGACUGUAACACCCCAUUAAGUCCUUAAAAACGGGUUCCUACUAAUAAAAUGAAGCAAGUAUGAUAAUUGAUAAGUAAAUCAAUGGAUACCGAAUGAAAAUCAAAACAAAAUACUCAAAUGAAUACGAGAGGUCAAGAACAUACCUGAGUGAGGAACUGAUUUAUUUCAUGGGAAGCAAAGGUUAGUAAACAAACAUAGGAUGAUUAUGUGCAUAUCAUGGAAUAGAGUAAAUCAAUUAUAUAUGUAAAGCAAUCAGAUCAAUCAAUCAAUCAUAAAAUCACGUAUGUGGGGCCCUCCACCAAGACCCGAUUUAUCUUAGCAUAAAUUAACGAUAAAUUUCAUUAUUUGAAAUUAUAAGAUUAUUCAUGCUUAUUAAAAAUGUGAAAAUUGGAAAAUUAUUAAAGAUCAAGGAGAAUUUAUGAAAGAUGAUUGUCGGGGAGAAAUAUGGCAGCCUAGUUUAUUAAGGAGCGGAAAAUAUUUAAAAUCAAUGAAAGAAAGUAAAAAUAAAAUAAAUAAAAAAGAAAUAUAAUAAUAAUAAAAGAUAAAAUAAAUGAAAUAAAAUAAAAAAAGAAAUGAAAAUGAAAAUAAAAAUAAUAAUAGUAACAAUAAUAGGAAAUAAAUAAAUAAGCAAAAUGAAAAAGGCACGCCCCUGAGGAAAAUGGCAAGAGUUGAUUUGUUAAAAUUGGAUUUAUUUAAGAUCAAGAAAGAAGGAGAAAUGAAGAAUUAAAAUCAAGUAAAAACGAGAUUUUUUUGGAAAUCCAUUUUUGAAAGUGUGCAUGAGAAAAGAGGAGUGUGGGACACGUGGGAAUUGGAUGGGCAAGUGGUGGAAGUGAAUACUGGGGGUUUAAUUGAAUGCAGAUUCAUAAUCUCAGUACUGAUUCCAUCCUUUGCAAGAGUAUCAGCAGCCUUGAGUGCUAGGCCUCCCUACCCAUUGUCUUUAUAGUCCACCCAUGUUGUUUCUCAAAUCUGUACCUCUCUGAAUCAGUCGCUUUUUGUGCAUCGGCUACCCCACUCAGCAAAGGCCGCUCAAAAGUUGUUCUCAUCAUGUACUCAGCAAAAAUUUCUUGGUCAAUGGCAGAUGGGUUUUUGUAAUAAUGAGAGGUGGAGACGAGAAUGGCGAGGGCGUGAACAUGGUUAACACUAACGCUGAAUUGAUCUUGCAACACUCUCUCUCUCACUGAUCACACAUGCUCAUAGGCACUUCCUCCUUUCUUUCCUUGUUAGCAGAAUCCAUCUCAUUGUAGACGAAGUUACUGGAAACGGCCAUCAACAUGAUCCAGAACACCAGAAAUUUUCUUUCUCAGCUAGUUCUCUUCUCCUUGCUCUCCCCUCCUCAGUUUUUCCAUUUUUCAUCACUCUCUGAAAAGCUCCCUCUAAAUCUUCGCCUCUCAAGCAACCUCCUUCCCUUUCUAUCUCUUCUUCCUCGCUCAAAAGACCCUCAUUCUCCAGCUGAUCUCUUCCCUCUCUCUAUCUCCUGCUUCAAAAUCUGAAUAAUCAUGGAUUUCUCAAUCAACCCGUGUUUUCAAGGAGUUGAGCACACCAUACAUGUUCUAAACCUGACCAUACUGCCUCAAAAGGGUAAUCUCCUACUCCGCCUCGUUCUUCAUCUUGGCCCUGUACUGGUAAGGAAUGGCAGCAACCCGAGCCCAUAGUACAAACAUAAACGCAUAACUCAAGGCAAAAACAGGGACUGCAAGUCCAUUCAUGAGGGGAAUCAAGUUGUCUGCAAUUGAUUGAAGCUGUUUAGCCGCUGACCAAGAGCAAGAUACACUCCAUGAAAGAGAUCAAGAAUGCCCAGGCGGGUGAUGUCGUUGAUACUUGCUGGAUUGAUGACGCCCAAAUGACUGGUUACAGGUGUGAAAAAAAAAGACCCAGUUUCCUUCUCAGACGCGAGAAACAUGCUCAUGUCGAUCAACAAUUCUUCUUCAAGCUUCGGAACGCAGCAUCUGUGCCUGUGUGCGUGAGCAGGCUAAGGAAUUCAGACAUUAUAUGUGUUGUAUUAUUGAUGCCGAGGUGAGACACUACUUUUAUUAUUGAUCAUGUGGAAUGAAGGUACGUGAAUGGGUGAGGUCACUCCGGGGUUAUUUUAGGUUAAUUGAUGGUCAUUAUCUGAAGAGCAUGCUAGUGGGAGAAAUGAGAAAGACGAUCUGGGAGGGAAUAUGAUGGGUUAUAAGCUGAGGAAGGGGCAUGAGGAGGGACUAGCGGGUAUGGAGAUGAGGAACGAACAGGUGGUGGCGAGCAUGUUAAUGGGUAUGAUAGGUGUAUUGGGUAUGGGUGUGAUCAGUAGAGUGACUUGUGGAGAGUAUAGCAUGGGGAAUGAGUAAAAAAAGAAUGGGUAUGCCGAUGGCUUUGAUGGGUAUGAAUGUUUAGAAGACGGUAAGCUGGUCAUGACGUCCUAGGCGAGAAUGGUUUGGCCUGGUACUCAAAUUUGAUGGAAUGAAUUUUGGAUGGAAAAGUUUGUGAAGGUAUGUCUAGCUAUGCACGGCCAUGCAUAGGCGCGCCCAUUUCAUCUCAAUGUCCAGAACUGUUCCUGAGAUUUCCCGGUAUCUCUACCCAAUGAUGGCGUCACCUACCACAUCUGGACAACUCUCCACUAUUAUUCACUUGAACCAAAACCUUCAAAUGCUUUCUUCUCAUUAUUUACACCUUCAACCAUGGCCAGAUUGAGGACUGUAGCCAGGAGCUGUUUCAUCUUAUUGCUCUACAAAUGCUCAAUAAAAUACCAUUCAAUGUCUUUUGGAAGCUGUGGUGCUCUUUCAUUCAUCUCCUGAACGUAGCUUUCGCCAAAACAACGGUGACCGACGUCGUGGACUUGUCAGAUGUGAGAGACUGGUUUAGUUCUUGAGACAGCCAUAACGCGGACUUGAUCGGACCGACGACCUGACCUCUCUGCUGUUUGACGAACACGGAAUAUGACGGACCGGAGCGGCCUUGCCAGAGUCAUUUUACAAGCUGGAACUAUAUGGUCAAUAGACAAAUUCUUGAAACUUGGGGAAAAAGAAACAGCUCUGAAAUCCAAGUCUCAGACCGAUUCCCCAACACUGUUUGCCAUAAUGAUCCUUGCAUGCUCUAACAAGAUCAUGCAUAAAGCUGCAUGCCCAGUAGGCCGUAUCAUGAUUGCUGAAUCCUUUUUGAAGCAGACACAUAGCCCGGUGGAUGACUGCGUCUGAUAGGUCAGAUGCUGCUACAGUUCAUAUACCAAUGACCACCAUCCUCUUCAUCUGAGCUCUCUCAGAUUCACUCCGAUCAAGACAACCAGACCAAACAUGAUACCCAACUUUCGAAAAAAUUACCAGAAACAGAGGGGAGGGUGAAGAAAAACAGAGCAUGCAUAUAAGAGAGAAAAAAACAUGAUGUAAAUAUAGCUUCAUUUCAUGAUGAUCAAUGAGCAGGAAGUGGGUGGGAAAAUCUCAAGCAGAUCCAAAGCAGAAGUGAAAACAAUAACUCUAAACACCUCACAGUUAAUAAGAUAACAAGAAGUUCACCAAUUUUUCGAGUCAAAUCAAAGAAACAGAGGAAGAAUCAGCAACACAGGUGGAAAAUCGACAAAUAAAUCAUCUAAGACAUCCAGUGAAAUGAUACCCAGAAUCAAAAAAAUGUAUGGUUCACCGUGAGCUUACCUGAAAAUGCACUAGAUGUCUUCCCCCCAGCUUCCUCUCUCUCUCCCCCCGUUUUUUUUCUCUGUAACCUCUGCUUCCUUCUCUCCUAAGCUCCCCCAAAAACGGCAGCAAAAGCACCACCCUCUCUCUCUGUAACCAAAACCAGAAUAUCCCCCCGCCUGCUGGCAGCUUGCUCUCCAAGAAAAUAUCUCUCCCCAAAAACCACCCAGCAAGCUUGCCAAAAACACCUCCUCUCUAACGGCCAAAAGAUUCCAUAACAGGUGUCCAUUCUUCAUUGCUUCCUCAACCCACUAUUGAGAUUCACUGACAGCCAGUCCAAAGACAACACGUGGCUCCUUGAGAGCCCUCCACCUGGUAAGAACAAGCUGUAGAAAACCUACCCAAAAUGGGGGUCUACACAUACAUUUUCGUACAAAAAUAUUCUUAAUUUUUGUGUAUUCUUCAACGAAGAAUUCUAUGUAUUUUCAAUGAAGUUGAGAUCGUAUAACAUAUUCUUAAUUUGACUCGACUUAGAGGCACAUGCAUAUAUUCUCUAGCUAUACAAAAAUAUUCUUAAUUUUUCUGUAUUCUUCAAUAAAGAACUCUAUGUAUUUUAUGCAUAUAUUCUCUAGCUAUACAAAAAUAUUCUUAAUUUUCAUUACAAGGAAAAAGGUAUAUGGUGACAUUUAUAACAAGUCACCAUAAACAUAGGGUGUCACUACAAUAUAACGUCACCUUCUCCACUAACACCAUAGAGGGUACCAAUUGGUGACGUAUUUGGAAGUGACACCAAAGUAGAUAAAUGGUGACCCAUUCGGAAGUGACACCAUAUAUUUCUAGUCAUGAUAGGGUGUCACAUUAAAUACAUCAUCUUUGAGUUAUGAUGUCACAUUAAAUGCAUCACCUUUGAGUUAUGGUAUCACAUCAUUGUAAAUUAUUGUGGAAGAUAUGAUUGGUUUUAGUUGUUGAUUUUUGUAAUGCUUAUGAAUUAAUAAGAUUAACCUGUUUAUAUUUUGUCCAUAAAUAUAACAAUCAUAUUAUAUUUAACUCAUUUUUCUGUAAUGUUUCUGAAAUAACUCAUAAUACAUUAAUCAUCUAAUAAUAUUUGUAUAUCAAAUGUUCACAAAAGGAUAGUACGUCUAACAUAUCAAACCCAUCAAAACCAAAAAAGAAGAGUGAAUACAUACCAAAACAUGAUUCAGAAAUGUUAAAGAUCCCAAGAUUCAUGUAUACCUCCAUUUCAUAAGCAUAAAAUCGACUAACCAUAAAAUGACAUAAAAGUCCCAUCUAAAAAUCUAAAUUUCUCAGUUGCAAUUAAAGUAACGUUUAUGUCCUAUAACGUAUGACAUAAGAGUUGCAUUUAAAAACCCAAAAUCUUGUUGCCUUCUUCUUUUUUUAUUCUCCAUUUCACCCUCCCAAGAGUGUAUACCUGCAUUUCAAAAUUUAAUGAGUUUUAGAGAUUUUUAUUGAAGAAAAUAAACAUGGAUCAAUGUUAUCAUAAAUGAACAAAUCUAAGAACUAUUUUUUUUUCAAAUAGAAACAUUAUUCAAAGAAUAAGCAUUACUAUAUAAUACCUAUGGAAAAAUUCAUGUAGUAGUUAAGGGACUCACCAUGCAUGGUGAUCAUGAUGCAUCAACAUGAUUCAUGAUUAGUUGUAGCACAAAAGUAGCCCAUUAUCCUCUAAUUUCAUCGAAUUCUACUUGAGAAUAUGUUUUUUUUUUAUCACCAAACUGAAAUCAAAUAAGAAAAUAACAUUAGAAUGCAUAACAUUUGGAGGCCUAAAACUAUGUACAAUUCAUUAGAUAAGUAAUACCUUUGAAGCAAUAAUUGUAGGAUAAAAAAUUAUCUCUUUAAUGAAUCUCAUAACAAAAUAGCCACAUUCAAACCCUCCUUCUUGUCUUGGACACUAAUCGAUCAAUUAUAAAAUAACAUUAGUACUCACAUAUAUAAAUGGUGCAAAUGCAUAAGCUAAUGUGUAAAGAAAAAUUUUUGGAUGUCACCUGCACUAGUUGCUAAGAUGGCUCCCUCUUAGAUGUUUUCUUUGCAAAUAUUCGAAGAGCCCUAUGUAAAUAAGUUCAAUGGGUACAUUUUUAAAAUAGGUAAAUGUUACAUGUUUUAAUAUAUAUAAAUAAUAAAAAAAAUGUGUUUGAGGUGAAUGUAUUUUUUUAUUUAAAAAUAAUACUAUGAAAAAUAAUAGGAAGAACUUACAUGUUUACGAUGUCAUUUAAGUCCUCACAUGGUUUGUGAUGCAUAGGGUCAAGAUAGUGGACUAUCAUUUUCCUUGGCUCAAGCACUACUUAAAUAUAAACCCUUUAAGUCCUCAUAUCUAUUUCUAUUAACAAAAUAUAAAAACUUUACAAAACUCAACUACUUAAAUAUAAAAACAAAAUCAAAUAAAAUAUCUAGCUAAUUGGAUUUUAGAAACUAAAUAAACUAUAAAUUAACUAAAUAUAAAAACUAAAUAAAAUAUCUAUGCCCAUGAAUUAAUUGAAUAGGAUAGAAAGACAUAGAGAGAACAUGGUUAUGAUUAUGAUUUCCAUCUUAUCAUCUCCCGUCAAUACCACACAUGCCCAUUUUAAGGUUGGACACUACUUUUGUUGCUAGACUUGGAAAGGGAACUUCAAAAUUGAAAACAUAAAUAAACCCUUAUGUAAAAAAAAAAUAACAUUAAAAUAUAAUUGAGCAUUAAAAUAUUUACUCUCUUUCAUCACUUUCAUUUGAAUAUUAAUAAUCUCUUAUUGAGAUAGAUACUUACAAUUUAACAAAAUAGAAAUUCCUAAUAAUAAAAAAUAUAAAAAAUUCUAUUUCUAUUAACAAAAUAUAAAAACUUUCCAAAACUCAACUACUUAAAUAUAAAAACAAAAUCAAAUAAAAUAUCUAGCUAAUUGGAUUUUAGAAACUAAAUAAACUAUAAAUAAAUUAAAUAUAAAAACUAAAUAAAAUAUCUAUGCCCAUGAAUUAAUUGAAGAGGAUAGAAAGACACAGAGAGAACAUGGCUAUGGUUAUGAUUUCCAUCUUAUCAUCUCCCGUCAAUACCACACAUGCCUUCCCGGAUUGGUCCUUUUGGGGUUGGAUAUUCUCAACGAAAUUCUAUAUCUCAUUCCCACUUAGAUACAAACAGAAAAAUCAUUCUUUUUUUUUUCCUCUCUCGUUUUUUAGAAAGGAUGAAGAUUAUGUGAUAAUAAAUCUCAAAAAAAUUCUGUACCUGUCAUUCUCACACAAAUACAUAUUAAAAAUCAUUCAUUUUUUCCUGUUUUUCACUUUUUUUUUAAGGACUUGAUCAUGUGUUUGGUUUAGAUUAAAAAAUCAAUUAAUCUACAAUUUUUUCUUCUAUGCUAGAAGAUUAAACCUAAAUUUUUCUUCCCUACAACUCAAGAAAACACAAUUCACAAAAACCAUAAUACAAAGAUGUUGAAACAAUUAAUAUAAUGACAUUAAUAAAAGAAGAAAAAAAAUGAUAGAUCCAAGAGAUUUUGGGUUACCUGGGAGUCCACACAAGUGAAGAAUGUUUGUUGUGAGCGUGUUGACUAUGGAUGGGUGAGAGAAAAGGUUGAAGAAGAUCAUGAUUUUAUAUAUAGGAUUUAUAUAUUGAGAUUUUUUGGAUUGUGGGUGAGAUAUGGAAACAAUGGGAUUUUUAUAUAGUAUCCAUCAUUAUUAAUUCUAAAAGUGGGCUCAUUAAGUUAUAAUACCUAAAAAAAAUUUAUUUUAUAUGAUGUCACUUCCCAAAAAAUGACACUAUAAAUAUAAAAUUAAUAUCAUCUAACUACCUCAAUUGAAGAUUUUUUAUAUGAUGUGUCACCUUUAUUAAUUAUAAACCCUAUGGUGUCAUUAUUUUAAAAGUGACACCGUAAAUAGUGACACCAUAAACUAUUUUUGUAGUAGUGUUUUGUGUAUUUUUUCAAUGAAGUUGAGAUCGUAUAACAUAUUCUUAAUUUGACUCGACUUAGAGGCACUAAUAUCUUCCUCCCAAAUUCAUUGUAUGUGUAAAUGGCAUCUUCUUCCCAAACUCAGUGUAUGUGUAAAUGAAAGAGAGUUGAUUCAAAGAUCCAAACAAUCUUCUACUUUUAUAAUUUUAUGAAUCCAAUUUAUGAUUUUCCAUUUAAAGAAAUUGACAAUAAACUAAAUUCAACCAAAAAUCACAUACAUAUCUAUAAUAUAUAAUAUCUAUUAGUUAUAUUACCAACUUAAGUUUAUUAUAGAGUAGCAUACCACAUCUAUAUAGUUUAUAACUGAGCUACUUAGUAAUGCUAUGAGAAGGUUAUAUCAAUAGCUAUAUACAUUCAUCUCCUCGAGAUAGAAUAAUAUGACUUGACAUAGAUUACAAUAAUGUAAUUUAAAUAGGUCUAUUAUAAUAGUAUUUUUAAGCUUUUCGGAUCAUAAUGUUUGAUAGACUUUUUGGUUUGGGCCAAAAUAUAACAUUUAAAAAAAUAAUUAUUGGUUUUUAUUAUUAAAUCGAAUUGAAACCAAAUGGACGUUAUUGUUACUAAACUGAAUUAAAUGUUAUUCUUAAUAUUAAAAAAAUUAAAUAUUUUGAUUUUUUCUAUUUGAUGAAAAAAAAUAAAAAUAAGUAGCAGAUUAAUAAAAAAAAAAAUGAACAAUUUAAAAUCUUAGCAAAAAGUUAAAAAAAAAAAACAAGACUUAAGUUAAUUUUCUUUGAGUGUCGAACGACUCCCCUCUAGAUAAGGGAUUGGAAGUAGAAGGAAUACUUAUGAAGCAUAUACAUGCGGGAAAGAGUAUUGACAAGGAUGUUUUAAUCAGUAGCUAUGGCUUUUCACCCAGAAAUAUAGAAUUGAUUUUCCAAGUGCUUGUGAAUGCAAGGAUAUGUCCUUCCAUGUAAUAUCCCAACCCAAGAUUUUGUUAGCUUUGUAAAGUACGAAGAAUAAAUUUUUUAUUUUUUGUUUGGGCUUAUUAAUAAUUCCCUAAUUGGGCUUUUAAUUCAUGACUGAAAAAUUUGGGCCAAAACUUCCAAAGGUUAGGUGGUGUUUGUUUUUUUACUUAAUUCUAAAUAGAACCUUAAUACUUAAUAAUAUUAAAUAUUAGGUUGUUUGUUUUUGUAGUAUUUUAUUUCUAUUAAGUAUUAAAAAAUAAAAAGAAACUAUUAUGUUAUUUUUUCUAUUUAGAAAAAGCCAUAUAUUUUGGCUUUUUCUAUUUAGUAAAAAGUUUAUAAUAAGUCAUGAAAAAGUAAAAAAACAAAUAACCUAAAUUCUAAAACUAAAUGGUUUUCAACAAAAAGCCAAAAAAACAAACACCACCUUAGUCUCCAACGUUUCAAAUUGGGAUGGCAAUAUGGAUCAACUUUAUCCAAAUCUUGUCCAGUUUAUUUAUACCCAUUCUCAUCCGAUCCAUACCUAAAAAGAAAAAUAAAAUAAAAUAAAAUAAAAUAAACACGCAAAAAUUAAAAAUAAAAUAAAUAAAAAGUAAAAAAUAAACUAGACAAGGUAAUAUUAGGAAAUUUUCAUAUCUGCCCCAUUUAAUUUUUUUUAUUUUGAAAAUUUUAAAUUAUAUUAAAAAUAAAUAUAAUUUAUAAAAAAAAUAAAUAUUAGAACUUUUGAUUAUUUAUUUAUAUGAAAAGUAUAAGAAUUUAUUUUUAUAUGCUAAAAAGAGGUGAAAAUGAAAAUAAAAUAAAAUAAAAUAACUUUUUAUUUAAUAUUAUGUAUAAUAAUUGGGACAUGCAAGACAAAACUUAUGUUUUAAUUUUUUUUUUAUCAAACUCAUUUCAAAUUCAUCUUUAUCUCAAAUUCAUCACUUUAAAGAAGGGGUAUCCCAAAAACCGUCUUAUUGUCAUCCCUAGAUCCAAAUCCCAUAUAUCAUGUCAAUUUCCUAAUUAUACUAUAGUGGAUAUUGAAAAACAAAAACAAAAACAAAGAGAAGGAAUGAAAAGUUGCACAACUUAUGUGGUUGAGAAAGUUAGACAAAGUAGAUAAGAUGGUGAUCGAUUCAACUCACAUAGUAGGUCUCUCAUCUAUACUGUAGAUUUUUUAACCAUUUUUCUUUUCUUUUAAGUGAAAGAUUGGUAAUUGGAGGGUUGGAGUUCACUUAUUCUUUCUAAAUUUUAUGGUUUUGGUUCAAAGACUAAUGAAAAGAGUUGAAGGUUUUAGGGGUUUCCAUGAAUAUCAAGUAGAAUAUGUAUCAAAUUGAUGAUGAUAAGAAUAGCAUUAUGAAUCUUAAAUUAUUUGACUAAUUAAAAAAUAAAAAACAGAGAAAAUAUUUUGAAGCAAAAAAGUAAGAAAGGACUCUAAAUUAGUAUCAUGUAUGAAUAUCGAGUGGUUAGCAAAUAAGUUACAAAUUAUGGUAACAAGAAACCACUGGUGUCACAAAAAUAUGCAACUUAUGAAUCUGGGUAUUGUUCAAAUGAUAGUUGAAAAAUAUAGUUUUGAGUGUUAGAAAAAAAAAAAAAGACGAAAUAAAUUUGUUCAAUAUUAUAUAUGCAUAUGGAUGUAGGGUUGGCAUUACUAGUUUUAUAUAUGCUUUCCAAUUUGUUUUCUAUAUUAUCAAUCACUUGUCCACACCUCUCUUGUCUCACAAAUCUUCUUUUGAAUAACUAAGUUACACAUUACCAAAUUACUCUACUAUUUGUAUCUUUGGUUCUAAACCUUAUGCAACACCUAUGACCUCUAGAAUCGUGCUCUUUAUUAAUUAAAGACAGUACUCCUCUCUCGAACCCUACUCGGUAUAUAAAUCUUGUUGGGUUUUAUAGUAUUGCACCAUUACUUGCCUUCACAUUUCUUUUAAUGUUGAUAAUUUAUGUCAAUUCAUUCAUGCUCUAACUCACAUUCACUUUUAGAUAGUUAAAUGACUUCUUUGGUAUCAUAAGGGGGUUGUUCAUUUCAUGGUCUUACUCUUCAUGUAGCCUAUUUUUUGGAUCUUUUGUUUAUUUUGAUACAUGCCGGUAUAGUUGCCCGAAGAAUCAUUGAAGUACAAUGGCUAUUGUGCUUUCUUUGGAAAUAGUUUUGCCUCUUGAUAUGCUAGUAAACAAAAGGUGGUCUCUCAAUCUGGUAUUGCAUUUGAAUAACAUGGUUGCAUUUGAAUACCAUGUUAUUUACAAAUACUACCUCAAUAUUGGUUUGAAUUCAAUUCAUGUUUUUCCCUUAUUCCAUACACCUUUUAUAUUGUGUGACAAUUUAAGUUCAAGCUAUUUGGCUAUGAACCCUAUUUCACAUUCUCAUAUCAAAUAUGAGGAUAUUGACUUCCCCUUAUGCAUAAUCGAGUACUUCAACAAAUCAUUAGAUGUCAAGUUCGUGUCUUUUACUCAUCCAUUGGUAGAUGCUAUAACUAAGCCACUACCUACUCAGAUUCUUAGGUCUUUAUCCCAAACACUUAGUUCUUCCAAGACAUUGAGCUUGUAAGGAAUGCUAGAAUAUAGGUCAACUAGCUCAACAUUCUUUUUAUCUUGUUAUAAUGAAAAUUAUAGAAUCUUGUUAGAGUAAGUUAUGUAAUAACCAAAAGUGGUAAUAACUAGGGAAUGAGCUCUUUGAAAGAGGGCAUUCAAAGAAGGAAAAAUACCCUCAUGUUCUUUAUGAGUAUGUAGAUUGCACAUUAAUAUUAUAUACAGAUGUGAAGUUAUAAUUAUAUAUAUAUAAAGGAGUACAAGUGCAUAGAGAUGGCAAUGGGGCAGUUUGGGAUGGGUGACCCAUCCCAAUCUCAUCUCAUUUAUUCAAAAUAAUUUUCAUUCCUACCCCAAUUAAAAAAUUAAAUGGAAUGGGUAUGGUAUAAAUUAAGGUGAGGUGAGACAGGACAAUACAAUAUUUGAAAUCACCUUGAACCUAUCUUGGGUUUUUAAAAAUCUCAAACUUGUUAAUAACCUAUAUAUUUAAAUUUUAAAUUCCCUCCAUUAAAGGCAAGGCAGAGUAGGUACCCAAAAAAAAUCCACCCAUUGUCAUCCCUACAAGUGCAUAUUAAAUAAAUUAAGGGUUUAUUGGUUAAAGGGGUCAAAAUAAACUCCAUAUUUGCAAAUAUAACCCAUCAGUCAAAAAGCAAAAAAGUUGACCUGGUUGAGACAAAAAUACCCUUCUUUUUUCUCUCCAACACAUACAACUUCUCCUCUUCUGCUUCAUUUAUAGAACGACUCCUCAUAUUUUCCAAAAAAUUUCUCUCAUCAUCUUCUUCUACUUCAUUAUCUUCCUUUGGUGCACAAAACGGAAAGGUCAUCUCCUCUUCCGCUUCAUUUAUAGAAUGAGUUCUCAUCUUUCAUCAUCUUCUUCUAUUUCACUAUCUUCCUUUGAUGCACAAAACGAAAAUCUCAUAUUUCCUUCAAAAACCCUAGAAAAUUUCUCGUCUAUCCUCUCAUCCUCUGUUUCAUUCCGAAUCCUUGGAAAAAUUAUUAUUCUAUUUUUUUCAAGUUAUCUCAUAUUAUGUCUUCAAGCACGAAGGAAACAAUGAGUUCAUUGAAGAGUGAUAGGAGAAAAAGAUUUUAAAAAGUGGCAAAAAAACAAAAAUGGCAAUUGCGAACAGAAGAAAAAAGUGAAGCGGAAGAAAGUGAAGCAAAGGAAAGCGAAGCUACUUAGCAAAAAUCUCAAUUACCAAUAGAAGAGGCAAGUGAUUCUACUAAACCGGUGAGUGUAGUCUUCACAUUUGAUAAAUUAUUGAAAUUUUUAGAGAUGUUAUACAAUAAUAUUUGAGUAUGGUUAAUUUUAUUAGUUAAAUACACAAAAAAAAAAAAUUAGGAUUUAUUGAAUUGUAUUCAAAGCAUAAAAUUGUUAUAUUUAUAAUUUUUUUUUUAGUUCUCCAUUGUUAUCAGUUAUGUAUUUUGAGUGAAUAAAUUUAAGUUUGUUAGCUGAUAUUUGAAAAUAUUUGGGAAUUAUUAUAGUGUGUUGAAAAAUAAUAAAUUGCAUAUUAAUACUGUUUUAGUUUUCUAUAUUAUUAUCAAUCAUGUGUUUAGAGUGAAAUGAUAUAUUCAAUGUAAUAACAUCUAAUUAGGGAUAAGUUUAUAGAUAAUUUAUGAAAUUUUAGGGAUUUUUGGAAAUUUUAGGGAUAUUAUACAUUGGUGUUUGAGUAUGUCUAUGUUCCAAAUGCAAGCAGAUGAUAUUCUUGUUGACUAUGUUAAUGGGCUUCACCCAAUUCCUUCCAUGAAAUGGUCUGAGGUGGACAUCGUCUAUGUCCCUAUUAAUGUUUGAAGUAUGCAUUAGGUAUUGGGAGUAAUUCACCUUGCUCAGAGGAGAAUAUUUGUGUAUGACUCAUUGAUAGGAAUUAAUAGUGAUAAUCGACUAAAAGGUGAUAUAAUACCUUUAGCUAAAGUGUUACUGCGUAUUUUGCAUGCUACAUCCUAUUAUGAGAAGAGCGGCGAUCCUAAGAGUGAAGAACAGUGGGACAUUGAACAAUUGCAUGAUGUUCCUCAACAAGUGUAUGAGUAAGUAAACAAAUAUCCAAACUUCAUCUUAUCAUUUCACCUUUAUGCCUUAUAUAGUAAAUUUUUUUUAGUCAUCUUAAUUUUGAUUACUUGUGUUUCAUGCAAUGGCGAUUGUGGGAUGUUCCUAAUUAAAUAUGAAAAAUACUUAAUGCAUGAUCAUCCAUUCAGCUCAUUGACUGGUACCCGCAUUGAUUGGUUUAGAGAGAAAAUGGCAACUGAAUUGUUCUACUUCAAAAAUUUACCCAUGUAGUGGGUUUCAUUUUGAUUGUGUAAAAGGUUUAUAUGUUGUUGAGUGUUGACUGUUAUUUUGGAUGAAUUUGACUUGAUGCUCAAAGUUACAAUUUUUGUAAUGUAAUUAUAACUGUCAACUUAACUAUAGUUUAAGUUAUUUGUUAAUGCAAUUCAACAAUUGUUAAGUUCAAGUGAAUAUUCUGAGUGUGAAUUUAACCUCAAUUAAGUUCUUUAUUAAUGCAACUCAACCAUUGUUAAGUUCAGGUGAUAAUUUUAACUGUAAACUUAAUUGUGGUUAAGUUUUUUGUUAAUGCAACUCAACUAGUGUUAAGCUUAGGUGAAAAUUCUAACUAUGAACUUAACUGUGGUUAAGUUAUUUAUUAAUGCAACUCAACUACUGUUAAGUUCAGGUGAAAAAAUAAACAAAGAACUUAACCACAAUUAAGUUUUUUAUUAAUGCAACUCAACCAUUAUUAAGUUCAGGUGAAAUUUAUGACUGUGAAUUUUCUUACCAUUAUUUGACCUUGUCAUAUGGAUAAAUCUUUUCAACUUCUUUUGAACGAACUUUUCACUUUUUCAUAACUAACAAUGGAGUCUCUAUUUUUUACCAACAAUGUUGAAGUCAGAUUAUGAAUUUUUAAGAAAUAGAAAGAAAUAAAAUGAUAAUAUAAAAAAGAAAUUGUUGGUUGUUUACAUUUUUUUUUUUCAUAUUUUCGUGAUCAAGAAUGAAGAAUAGAUGAAACAAUGGUAAGAAGUUAAACUUGUUCUCUGCAAGAAAAGAGAGAGAAUGAGCAACCAAUGACCGAAUAAAAAAAUUAGAACCUAAUCUGCUAUAAAACAAAGAGAAAGGGAAAAGAGAAGUUGUAUAUGUUGGAGAGAAAAAAGAAGAAGGACAUUUUUGUCUCAACUGGGUUAACUAUUUUGCUUUUUGACUGAUGGGUUAUAUAUGUAAAUAUGGGGGUUAUUUUGACCCAUUUAACCAAUUAACCCAUAAAUUAAUGUGGUGGCUCUAAUGGAGAGAUGCUUAGAAUAUGAUAUAAUGGGAGUAUGAGUAUAUAUGCAAAACAUAGAAGAAUAUAGAACGUAUGAAUAAAUGUAACUUUUGAGUAUGAGAUCAUAACAAAUUGGGUGCAGCAUAUAAAAAUAUAUUGCUUUAAGAAUUCUGGUGGGCUGAAUGUUUUGGUAUAGGAAUUAUUGGAGAGAAUAUGGAAUGCAAAAAUCUGGAAUAUUUUGGAUAAAUGAAAACUCACUUGUUGAUACAAACUCACUUGGUGGUUGUAGAAUUCCAAAUUGAAGUGCAGCACCUUAAUAUUUUUGGACAAGAGGUAUAAAUAGGAGUUAUACCUAGAACAUAGUGUAAAUAUACAGUGCCAAGUAGUAAAUAAUCUUAAAUAUAUAUACUAUAUUUGAUUAUAUAUUAAAAAAAAUGAUUUUCUCAUAUUUGGUUUCAUAAUAGAAAAUACGGAAAAAAUAUCAAAUAUAAUUAAAAUUAAUUAAAAAUUUAGACAUUUUAAAAUUAUUUCAUAUUUACAUAGAAGGAGAAAAGGAAUGAAACACGUUUGAAUUAAUAUAUUAAAAUGAAUUAAUGAUUUAAAAUUUUUUUUUUCAUUUUUUUUCUUUUCUUUAACUUUUCCUUUAUUUUCUUUCUCUCGUAUCUUCCCUUCAAUUUUCCAGAAACCAAACAUAGUUAAAAUAAACAUUUAAUUUGAAUUUCCUAAAAUAACCUAAUGGGAAUUUAAUUUAUUUUACUAUUUUGCAUUAAUUUAUGAAAUAUCUAUUUUUCUGUCCAAAUUUAGAAAAUUUUUUUUUGUAUUUUUGUAAAUUUUGUACAUGAAAUUUAUUCAUUCAAUUACACUAACAUUUAUAAGACAGUAUACAUCCUUAUCUGUAGCAUAAACUUUUCUUUCCAUUUUCACUAGUGUUCUUAACAGGCUAUGUUCAGACCCAACAAAUCCACUCAUGGUUCUUCCUUGGCAACUACGGAUCAUUGAAAACCAAAUCUCAAUGCUCCAUGCAUGAACACAAUCCCUCCAUUCGAGUCAGGUCUCUGAUGUGUUUGUGCCCAUGGUUGUGGUACCAUAAGCACAAAUUCAUUUCUGAGAAUGAAACAAGCAACCAAACGGACCCCAGGAUACUUCAGUUUGAGAUUUUGACUGGGAUUUUUCGGAAGAUCAUCCCUGAUUUGAAUUUUCAUGGCUCAAAACAUUCCCUAGAUUACUCAGCCUCCAUUAACGCUCAUUUCUCAAUGAAAGCAAAAUGCUGAAGUUUACCAACCCAGGUUCAAACUUAGUACACUUGUCAUAUGAUGCAGGACUGAGCUAAUUCAAAACUGUUCCAUCUCAUGUGGCAAUCCUAAAGUCAUAUUGCUUCCUUCCAGCAUUACAGAACAAAACUCAAAAGGUAAAAGCAAAGCAAAACUCAUUCUGUGUCGUAUCAUGCUGAACUUAGGAACAAAAAUAUCUAUGGUUAAACACCUGGAAAGUAAUAACUCCAUGGUUCCCUAGGAUGGGAUCAGUCCAAGUCUCAGGAAUUUGAAAAAGAUUUUAUGUGCCAGCAUGAAAAUAAAAUUUAGGCCGAAAGAUCCCUGACCAAGUUAUCUUGGCCUUCACAACCCUCUCCCAGCACAUUAUCAAGGGUAUCUACUUUGUUUCCUGAUGGAUAUUUAGACCAGCUUUCACUAAAAUGGUUUUGGGGAUCAAGCAGAAAGUACAAAAUAGAUUGUAUGCCAUUCUAAAUAGAAUGCAUGUCACACCAGGACUGCAAUUUGAUCAUGAAAAUUGACAGAGAUCAUCUCACCUAGAAGUAUGAAUUUCUAUAAAAUUUACAAUAAUUCCUGCUCUCCUGCAGACAAGUGUACUGAGACAAAAACCAAAAACAAAAAGAGGAGUAUAGUUUUCACCUAUAGAACAACACCGGUGCUUAACUUGUAUUCACUAGCAAACAAGGCAAAAGGUGCUCACUUCUCAGAAACAUGUUCUAUUUCUCCUUCUUUACAAGUAGUGAUCAGGACCCAAUAACAUCCUUUGUAGGAAUGCUGAUCUCAACCUGCUCAAAUGUUGAAGCUCUUGCAGAAGGUUUAUGUAACCAGUCAAGGUUCUUCCUGGACCUUCAGCCAUAUAUCUUUCAAAGCCAAGCCUAAAUGCUUCAUGAACAGUAUAGCCCACAUCGUAACCAUUUCUUCCAAAUGUUUCCACAGCAUGAUUGAAGUAUCCAUCAAAGAUUGUUAAAGGUAACCCCAUAUGCCUUGGGAUGCCAUUCAUAUUUGCUAAAAUAUUUCUUCCAGGACCUCUGUAAUCAGAUGAACCUGGCCACUGCUGCAUUUGCAUUAGAUUAAUUUGCUGAGAUCCUCGGUGAUUUAAAUCAGAGUGGCACACGAUUCUGGACAUUUUCAUAGCAAUGGGGGAGAAUCUGAAUUUGAAAGUACCGCAAGCUCCCAAACGGAAGGGCUCAUCACAUCUUGAACCAGCUCCUCUCUUAUUGUUAUAGCCUGGGUAGUCCUCUUUCUUAAAAUCAACACACUCAAACAGCACCAGAGAGUUUUGAGAAGCAAGUUCCUCAAGAUUCCAGUGGGAAAAUGGAGCUGUGGUUUUGUGAUUUACAUGAAUUUCACCAUUGGCUCUUAGCAUGCCACUUGCAUUCCUGAAGAAACCAUGCACAAGAUCCCUAUGCAUACUGUAGCAUAAGAUGGGAUGACAACAUAAGUACAAUCCACACAGAAUUAAUAAAGAAAUCAGCCAUUCUAUAAAAGCCUUAGGUACAACUAGAUUGAACCAUUUGAAAUCAGCAGAAAACAAUGCAUCAAAGAUACUCGUAUUCCUUUUGAUUUUUAUUUUUUUUUGGUUGUCAGACACACUGGUAGAAAAUAUUAUCAGAUGAUGAUGUCUAUAAUUAAUUUACCUGUGAUAAUGAAAAUUUUCUUCUACAUAUUUGUAUCUUUGAUAUAUAUUCUACCACUUCAAAAGAGAAACCCAGGACUCCCAUCAUUUGGAAGCAAAGGCAUGAUAUUUCUGGUGCAUCUGUAUAGCAGCACUCACAUCUUGUUUUAAGAUUGUAAGUUAGAUGCCUAGCAUCUGAGCUGAAGACCAGCACAUGAGCCAAUGCCCAUGGUACAUGAUAGUAACAACUAGAAUUCUUAAAAAUACUAUGAAGACAAUAACUGAUUCAGUUACAUGUAGGGUUCCAAAUACCCCCCAGUUCUAUCCUUUGCUGCCCUGGCUUUUGUGAUGGAGACUUUGUCCAUCAACAUGUAGAAACUGAAAUUAUAACGUAAUCUCAUUAUGGAGGCAUUGGAAACCUACACAUGACCAUGCAGAUGUGAUUCAUACUGCACUUGUGCAGACUCAUGGCUAUAUACUGCAGAAAUAGGUAAACAUAUGACCAUAGAAUGUGUUAUGAAUCUUCACCACUUUGAUAAAGUGGUCAAAAUUUCCCCUUAUGAGGACUUGAAUGGGAUCAUCCAAUGCGUGAUCCAAACCCACAGCUAGUUACCUUGAUGAGCAUCACCAUCUGAACCAAUUGAACAAACACACAGUUCUGUGCAUAGACAAAAAGGGCAUGAAAUGUAAAUGAACUCACAAACACAAAUAAAACAUAGGAGAAAAGUAACAUUGACCAUGACGAGCAACUACAGUGUAUGGAAGAUUUUGCUGUGAAAUUCAAGCUACAUAUCAUAUCCAUAACAACAAUACAUUUUCUUCGUACAGAGAGAAGGUAGUUUUGAGGAAUUAUGAAAUUUCCAUCACAUAGAUAAGAAAUAAAAGAUGAGGCCUUACUUAAUCAUAAGCCUGUUGUCUUCCUUUCCAUGGAAGCCUGCAUGAGGAAAGUUAUAUAUAAUGCGGUCGAAUUUCCACAUCUUCAGAUCAGUAUGAAGCUUCAUCUUGGUUGCAUCCACUCCAAAUAAAAGAGAUGCUCCCAGCUUCUCUAAAGCUUCCAAAUUUGAUUUUGCUUUCUUGUACAUCUUUAUCAGAACAUCUAGUUUAAGAUUGUGUCAGAAAACAAGUUGUCCAAAAAAUAGCCUUCCUCAUAAAACAGAGAGACUACACCUUAAUUUAAAAAUUUGUAUAUUGAACUCAACAAAGACUAAACCUCAACUAAACAAAUGAAACAUUCACAAAUGUGAUAACUCCCCAAAUAUUGAAUAUAACAACCUUCAAAUUCUUAAUUUGCCUAUCCUUUUACCCAAAAUGAAAAUGGCAUUUCAAUUUCAGAGCAUCAUAGAAGUCAGAACCCUUGUCAAUUUUGAUAUUUGGAAAGUACAAUAACAAUGGGGAAUUCUUGUCCAACAGGAGGAUUUGGAAAAACAUAAACCCAUAAAAAACUCACACAAUGUUAAAAAAUAUUUUGUUGAUAAUAAAAUAAAAGCUCUCCAAAUUCCACCUCGUGACUGUCCCUAGUUGCUUUCCUUUCAAAAUAGUCCUUCAUCUCCAAACCCAGAUGUUUGGUUCUCAGAAACUGAGAAAGAAAAAUAACGCAAAAGCAAGUUUCACUUAUAUUCCAAGGUUGACCAUUUCUUCAACCCAUAAAAUGAGUGUCAAAAUGUAUAAGUUCCUCCAUACUUCUGGCAUGCUUCUUUCUCUUCCAGUCAUGACAACCAAAUUAAGAAAAUAAUUCCCCUUCUACUGUUUCCCAAAAGUAUACAGGGCUAAGGACUACAAGAUUAGAGUAUAGUACACAAGUAACGAGUUGAUUCCAAUACAUAUAAAAUACGAGAAAAGGGAAAGAGAGAGACCAUAUGGGUCGAGAGAAGAAGCAACGAUGUUGGAAGCAGAAGCAAAAGAGUGAGCCAAACACAGAGAGAAAGAGAAGUCUCCUUCACCAACCAAGAGAAUUUGAUGAAACGAGGAAUAAUGCAUCAACCGUUUCUCUUGUUCUUCCACACCCACUUCAUCUUUCACCAUUUCCUCCCCGACAGCCAUUGACGCUUUCUACAGUUACAGAACCAGAGAGACUCUUUGAGAGAGAAAGGCAGUGAAAGUUUGGCCGUGUUUAAGGGGCUUAUUUGAAAAAUAGAGAUGACUUUCAAAUAGAAAUAUUUUUUAAGAAAAUAGUGAGGAUGUUUUUGUCAAAAAAAAGGAGACCAAAAAUGGAAGGUUUAGGACCUAUUUAAUAAUUGUUUUUGAAAGUACCGGUUCUAAAAAAUAAGUAUUAAGAAUAGUUUUUAAAAAUUGUUCUUUAAUUUUGUUAAAUAAAAAUUUGUUCAAAGAUUGAAAAUGUUUUUAAUUUAUUUUUAAUAUUUUUAAAUGAAUUUUAAAAAUAACUUUUAUGUUUAGUGCUUUAUUUUUAAUUAUUUUGCAUGUUUGUAUAAUUAUUUUUUAAAAUAAUUAUCAAUAAACAAGUGAAAAUAUAAAAUAAAAAAAAUAAAAAAACAAUUAAAAUAUAUUAUUCAAAAUAUUUUUAAAAAUAGAAAACAUAAAACAAUUUUGGACUCUGUGAUGAUCAGACCCUCAUAACCGGACGAAUCAUAAAAAUUUAGUAAAAUGGGAGUGUAUAAAGCAAGAUAAGAUGUACUAAAAUUAUUUUAAUUGAGGAUUCUAAUUGAACUCAAAAACCUUUCAAAAGAAAAAUAAGCUUUUUUGUCAUAACUUAUAUUCAGUACUGGUGCUUGAAUUGCAGGAGAUCCAUCAGUCUUGGGUGUGAGAGAUGAGAGUUGUGCUGAGAGUGAAGGGAGAGCAAUAUCAGAAGGUAAAGAAGUUUCCCAUGAUUCGUACGUCCAAAGACUUGGGUGGACUUGGCCAUUUUUUUAAUGUGCAAAUAUGCUACGUGGAGGCACUCUAUUCGGAUUAAUAAAGUGAUAAAAGAAAAAAAAGAAAAAAAGAAAAAAGGGAAGUAAAGUCCAUUUCAUCAAAGCAUUUGAUACCCGAAGUGAUGGAAGUAAUUAAAAGAGAUUGAUGAUUGAAGAAUUUGAAGAAAAAUAUGAAGAAUUUGAAGACAAAAUAUGGAGGAACACCUCAAUUCAUUCUGUGAUACCUCGCUUUACAAUGAAUGAAAGCAUAAAUAAAUAGCCUACGGAUAUGAGACAAUUCCGGAAUGGAAUUUCCCUUACAUGGAAAGUGAAUAAACUCUUACAUGGAAAGUGAAUAAACUACCUUGCUAGAAUUACUCCUAAAUAUAUAAACUACUCUUACAUGGAAAGUGAAUAAACUACCUUGCUAGAAUUACUCCUAAAUCAAUUAUAAUAAAGGCUGUACAUUACACUAAUUAGGGAAGUAAACAGAGGAUGCUGGCUUGAUUUCCAACACUCCCCCUCAAGCCGCGUUGUAGAUGUUGAUCAUUCCAAGUUUUUCUGUCAGAUCUUCGAAGUUAACUCGAGCAAGAGCUUUUGUGAGAAUGUCAGCCGUUUGACAGUUUGUCGGAUGUAGCUGACUUUGAAAACUCCUUCUUCAAUCUUUUCCUUGAUAAAGUGUCGAUCUACCUCCACGUGCUUAGUUCAAUCAUGAUGAACCAGAUUCUUAGCGAUACUGAUGGCAGCUUGAUUGUCGCAGUAUAACACCAUGGGAUGCUUGAAAGCUUCCUGAAUAUUCUGAGGAACUUGUAUCUCUGUGAUGCUAGAAGUGAAUGCACGAAACGUAGGUGAUAGCUUAUCAUAAGAAAUAAAAUUUCCAAUGGGAUGCUGAGUGCAUGAUCUAACUCCUUUCCUCCAAGCUAUGGGCAUAUUAAGAAUAUCAUUUUCUAACUCGGAAUCAACAGUACCAUCAGGAGCAUUGUUACCUGGAAGUUUGCUUGGAUUAGGACCCGGUUCUGCCUCAUGGGUUUGUUGAGAAAGUGCUCUUUCCUCCGUUUCCUCUUGGAUGUGCUCCUUAUCCCACAAGUCAACAAUGGACUCGGGUUGAUUAAAUGACUCUGGAGGAAUGUGAUUUUCAGUGGUGAUGGGUGACUCACUGAAUGACUCAAGAUCCCAAAAUUGAUAUUCUUGAGUUGAAUUCUCCCCCUGAAUAUAGUUUUUGGGAUAGUAAGGCUGGGUUUCAAAAAAGGUGACAUCCAUUGAAUUGUAGAAUUUUCUUGUGACCGGAGAGUAACACUUAUACCCUUUUUUAUUUGAAGAAUGCCCAAGAAAGAUGCACUUGAGUGACCUAGGAUCAAGUUUACUUCUAUGUUGUUGAUUGAUAUGAACAAAGACAGAGCACCCGAAAAUUUUGGGUGGGACGGUGGAGAUGAGACGAGUAGUCGGAAAGGAUUUUAGGAGUGUUUGACAAGGUGUUUGGAAUUUUAGUACCCUAGACGGCAUCCUAUUGAUGAGGUAGGCUGCCGUAAGGACAGCUUGCCCCCAGAAUAAUUUUGGAACAUUCAUGGAGAACAUUAGUGAUCUAGCCACCUCUAACAAAUGCCUAUUUUUCCUUUCAGCGAUUCCGUUUUGUUGUGGGGUAUCAACACAUGAACUUAAGUGAACUAUCCCUUCUUGUGCUAGAAAUUCUCCUAGAAUGGAGUUGAAAUAAUCCCUAGCAUUAUCAGACUUUAGAAUUUGUAUUUUUGACUGGAAUUGGGUCUGAAUCAUAUUUUUAAAAUUUUUGAAAAUUUGACCAAUUUCAGAUUUUUCUUUCAUGAGGAAUACCCAAGUUAAUCUAGUGUGAUCAUCUAUGAAUGAGACAAACCACCUAGUACCAGUUACAUUUUUUAUUCUUAACGGACCCCAGAUAUCACUAUGAAUCAUUGAGAAUGGACUAGACUCUUUAUAGGGUUGAAUGGGAAAGUGAGACCGAACUUGCUUUGAUAAUUGACAGAUUUCACACUCAAAGGAUUUUGGAUUUUUAUUAAAUAAUGAAGGAAAUAAAUGCUUGAGAUACAUAACAUUUGGAUGACCUAAGCGAUAGUGCCACAACCUAAUUGCACUAUCGUUAUUUUGACAUGAAACCGAAAAAGAAUUACUACCAACUGUCAUUUGAGGUUGUUCUUGUGGAUCAUGGCGCUCCUUAAGGAUGUAGAGUCCAGAGCAUUCCUCAGCAUUGCCAGUCAUCUUCCCCGAAUCCAAAUCCUGAAAUUCACAGUGAGUGGAGGAAAAAUUAGUAAUACACCUCUUUUCCUUAGUGAGUUUACUAAUUGACAAUAGAUUACAGUCCAAGUUAGGAACAAGGAGAACAGAGUUGAGAGUAAGAUCCCUUGAUAGCACAAUUGAACCUGUUCCGGCAACCUUUGAUAGUGAACCAUCUGCUAUUCGGACUGUUAAAUUAUUUGGACAUGAGCUAUAUGUAUCAAAAAUUGUCGCAUCUCCCGUCAUAUGAUCAGAUGCUCCUGAGUCCACUAUCCAAGGUUUUUUACGUUUCUUACCAGCAGUGAAGGCACUCAAAAAAUUACCUUUGUGAGCCAAGGUUCCGGAACCAAUGACCUGGUUGAAAGAUGAGCCAGUUUGUGACUGUAUUGACAAAAGAGGAGACAGUAGUUUCUGAAGCAUCUCCAUUUGCUCCUUAUUAAAAGGGCUAGCUUCAGGUUGUGGCGAUUGUUUAUCGGUAGCCACAUGAUUGCCUCGUCCUUCUUUCUCAAGUGGUUGACGUGGCUUCCAAUCUACUGGCUUUCCAUGAAUCUUCCAGCAAGUUUCUCUUGAGUGUCCNNNNNNNNNNNNNNNNNNNNNNNNNNNNNNNNNNNNNNNNNNNNNNNNNNNNNNNNNNNNNNNNNNNNNNNNNNNNNNNNNNNNNNNNNNNNNNNNNNNNNNNNNNNNNNNNNNNNNNNNNNNNNNNNNNNNNNNNNNNNNNNNNNNNNNNNNNNNNNNNNNNNNNNNNNNNNNNNNNNNNNNNNNNNNNNNNNNNNNNNNNNNNNNNNNNNNNNNNNNNNNNNNNNNNNNNNNNNNNNNNNNNNNNNNNNNNNNNNNNNNNNNNNNNNNNNNNNNNNNNNNNNNNNNNNNNNNNNNNNNNNNNNNNNNNNNNNNNNNNNNNNNNNNNNNNNNNNNNNNNNNNNNNNNNNNNNNNNNNNNNNNNNNNNNNNNNNNNNNNNNNNNNNNNNNNNNNNNNNNNNNNNNNNNNNNNNNNNNNNNNNNNNNNNNNNNNNNNNNNNNNNNNNNNNNNNNNNNNNNNNNNNNNNNNNNNNNNNNNNNNNNNNNNNNNNNNNNNNNNNNNNNNNNNNNNNNNNNNNNNNNNNNNNNNNNNNNNNNNNNNNNNNNNNNNNNNNNNNNNNNNNNNNNNNNNNNNNNNNNNNNNNNNNNNNNNNNNNNNNNNNNNNNNNNNNNNNNNNNNNNNNNNNNNNNNNNNNNNNNNNNNNNNNNNNNNNNNNNNNNNNNNNNNNNNNNNNNNNNNNNNNNNNNNNNNNNNNNNNNNNNNNNNNNNNNNNNNNNNNNNNNNNNNNNNNNNNNNNNNNNNNNNNNNNNNNNNNNNNNNNNNNNNNNNNNNNNNNNNNNNNNNNNNNNNNNNNNNNNNNNNNNNNNNNNNNNNNNNNNNNNNNNNNNNNNNNNNNNNNNNNNNNNNNNNNNNNNNNNNNNNNNNNNNNNNNNNNNNNNNNNNNNNNNNNNNNNNNNNNNNNNNNNNNNNNNNNNNNNNNNNNNNNNNNNNNNNNNNNNNNNNNNNNNNNNNNNNNNNNNNNNNNNNNNNNNNNNNNNNNNNNNNNNNNNNNNNNNNNNNNNNNNNNNNNNNNNNNNNNNNNNNNNNNNNNNNNNNNNNNNNNNNNNNNNNNNNNNNNNNNNNNNNNNNNNNNNNNNNNNNNNNNNNNNNNNNNNNNNNNNNNNNNNNNNNNNNNNNNNNNNNNNNNNNNNNNNNNNNNNNNNNNNNNNNNNNNNNNNNNNNNNNNNNNNNNNNNNNNNNNNNNNNNNNNNNNNNNNNNNNNNNNNNNNNNNNNNNNNNNNNNNNNNNNNNNNNNNNNNNNNNNNNNNNNNNNNNNNNNNNNNNNNNNNNNNNNNNNNNNNNNNNNNNNNNNNNNNNNNNNNNNNNNNNNNNNNNNNNNNNNNNNNNNNNNNNNNNNNNNNNNNNNNNNNNNNNNNNNNNNNNNNNNNNNNNNNNNNNNNNNNNNNNNNNNNNNNNNNNNNNNNNNNNNNNNNNNNNNNNNNNNNNNNNNNNNNNNNNNNNNNNNNNNNNNNNNNNNNNNNNNNNNNNNNNNNNNNNNNNNNNNNNNNNNNNNNNNNNNNNNNNNNNNNNNNNNNNNNNNNNNNNNNNNNNNNNNNNNNNNNNNNNNNNNNNNNNNNNNNNNNNNNNNNNNNNNNNNNNNNNNNNNNNNNNNNNNNNNNNNNNNNNNNNNNNNNNNNNNNNNNNNNNNNNNNNNNNNNNNNNNNNNNNNNNNNNNNNNNNNNNNNNNNNNNNNNNNNNNNNNNNNNNNNNNNNNNNNNNNNNNNNNNNNNNNNNNNNNNNNNNNNNNNNNNNNNNNNNNNNNNNNNNNNNNNNNNNNNNNNNNNNNNNNNNNNNNNNNNNNNNNNNNNNNNNNNNNNNNNNNNNNNNNNNNNNNNNNNNNNNNNNNNNNNNNNNNNNNNNNNNNNNNNNNNNNNNNNNNNNNNNNNNNNNNNNNNNNNNNNNNNNNNNNNNNNNNNNNNNNNNNNNNNNNNNNNNNNNNNNNNNNNNNNNNNNNNNNNNNNNNNNNNNNNNNNNNNNNNNNNNNNNNNNNNNNNNNNNNNNNNNNNNNNNNNNNNNNNNNNNNNNNNNNNNNNNNNNNNNNNNNNNNNNNNNNNNNNNNNNNNNNNNNNNNNNNNNNNNNNNNNNNNNNNNNNNNNNNNNNNNNNNNNNNNNNNNNNNNNNNNNNNNNNNNNNNNNNNNNNNNNNNNNNNNNNNNNNNNNNNNNNNNNNNNNNNNNNNNNNNNNNNNNNNNNNNNNNNNNNNNNNNNNNNNNNNNNNNNNNNNNNNNNNNNNNNNNNNNNNNNNNNNNNNNNNNNNNNNNNNNNNNNNNNNNNNNNNNNNNNNNNNNNNNNNNNNNNNNNNNNNNNNNNNNNNNNNNNNNNNNNNNNNNNNNNNNNNNNNNNNNNNNNNNNNNNNNNNNNNNNNNNNNNNNNNNNNNNNNNNNNNNNNNNNNNNNNNNNNNNNNNNNNNNNNNNNNNNNNNNNNNNNNNNNNNNNNNNNNNNNNNNNNNNNNNNNNNNNNNNNNNNNNNNNNNNNNNNNNNNNNNNNNNNNNNNNNNNNNNNNNNNNNNNNNNNNNNNNNNNNNNNNNNNNNNNNNNNNNNNNNNNNNNNNNNNNNNNNNNNNNNNNNNNNNNNNNNNNNNNNNNNNNNNNNNNNNNNNNNNNNNNNNNNNNNNNNNNNNNNNNNNNNNNNNNNNNNNNNNNNNNNNNNNNNNNNNNNNNNNNNNNNNUCAAUAUACCACAUAAAACAUUGGUAUCACAGACCAAGACCAAUGUGUGGUUAAACGUACAAUAAAUCAUUUCAAUGCAAAGAAGAAACCUUCUGUGAGAUGGGGAGGGGCAGACAAGUGACCUAGAUCAAGAACUUCCUCCUCGCUUAUUGAUAUUACAAGCAAAGAAGAAAGAUGUUUCAUCUUCUGGAUGGAUGCACACAAAUCCUUCCCAUCCUUUCUUUCAAGUUCUGUGAUCGCGAGUUUCCUCAUUGCAGUCAAAUUUCCCAAUUCCUUAGCAAUUCCCUGGCUUGUUUGCCUUGACAAGUGACAACCUCUGUAUUGAUGAUAAAACCCACCAAUUCCUGAAAACAAUUCUGCUCCUACACGGGCUUGAUCUCCAUCUUGCUGAUGAUCAACCAAAAGUAAGACAAGUUUGUGGAGUUUACGGAUGGUUUUGGGCAACUUGGAAACAAAAGUUUGUCUGAGUUCCAAAGUUUCUAGGUUUUGAAUCUUCUCCACUGAGCUUGAAACUGCCUUUAUCUUGGUAUUCCUCAGUUUCAAUUACUUUAGUAGGGUGAGAUUAACAACCACUUCGGGAAAAUUUUCCAAAACUGCAUCUUUCAACUCUAAAACUCUCAAUAACCUUAAUCUGUAGUGUUUUUCUAAAUAUGGAAGUAGUGAAAUUCUCUCUUCCAAAUUUGAACAAGGUGCGAAGACGAGAGAAAUCCUUGCUUUGCAAUGAAUCUGUGAAAGCAUCAUGGAUUGCUAUACAUCGAUGGCUAAAGUGAUAAUAUCGAUCUACGUUUUGUAUGGUCAAAACUUUGCAGAAGCUUGCAUCUUCAGAUAUUGGAAAUAAGGUAUUCUCGCACAAGAUUCUUAACUUGACACCUUCUUACUACGCCUUGGAAAUCCCUUUUGUUUGUGUCAACCAAGCACCCAUUGAUCAGCUCAUCGAGGUAGGCAUCCGCCACCUCCUCCAGUGUUUUACCUCUUUUCUCCUCAACAAAUCCUUCAGCUAUCCACAAGCUAAUCAGCCUUCCACUAGCAAAAGAAUAAUCCUCGGGAAAUUUGCAGAAGUGAAAGAAACAGCGCUUAAGAUGGAAAUAUCUUUGCUGUAAUACUCUCCGAAUAAUCCCAAGUUUGGAAUUGCUUUAGAUGAAAGGGGUGAUGAAACGAGAGAGAUGAGAGGAAAAGAUGCUAAUAUUAUUUAUCUCAGUGGUCUUCUACAAUAACAGAUCAGACAUUAUAUACAAGCAGAAGAUACACAUCCUAACCAACUGUACAUGUGGAGCUAAAAGACUAGAGAGAAAAUAAUAUCCUAACUAAUUACAGCUUUAGGCUUAAUAUCCCCCCUCAAGCUCAUUGGUCUAGUGAGAACAGUGAGUUUGGAACGUAGAGUGAUGAAACGUUGGGUGGAAAGAGGCUUGGUCAUACAAUCAGCAAGUUGAUCAUCAGAAGGUGUGAACUAGAGAGAGAGAGCGUUGAAGAACACGUUCCCGAACAAAGUGGUAGUUGAUUUCCACAUGUUUGGUUCGGGCAUACAAAAUAGGAUUGGCAGCUAAGUAUGUUGCACUGAUAUGGUCACAGAGAAUGAGAGGAGGUGAGUGGGAGUAAUGGAAAGUUCACGAAGAAGAGAUUCAGUCCAAGCAAUUUCAGCAACCCCAUUUGCUACCCCUCGGUACUCUGAUUCGGUGUUGGACCGGGAUACCACUUCUUGUUUGGAAGAUGACCAAGAAACCAUAUUUGAGCCAUGAAAGAGGUAGUAGCCACUAGUGCUACACUUGUCAUCAGGGCAAGAGGCCCAGUUGGCAUCUGUAUAGCAAGUGAUGUUGAAGUCUAGGGAAGGCUGUAGGAAGAGACCAAAAUGAGAGGUGCCCUUUAAGUACCAGAGAAUACGUUUAACAGCCUACCAAUGAACAUCAGAGGGAUGGUGCAUGAAUUGACACACUUUAUUUACUGCAAAAGCUAUAUCUGGGCAUGUCACGGUACAAUACUGAAGGGCACCAACAAAAAUGCGAUAAUCUGAAUCAUUUUCAAGAGCCACACCAUCAUGAAGAAAGAGAUUUGUGUUGGAGGACAAGGGAGCAGGACAUGGCUUGGCAUCCAACAUAGCAGCUCGGGUAAAGAGAUCAAUGAUAUGCUUUGCUUGGCUGAGGUGAAUACCAGUAGGGGUGUGAUGAACCUCCAAGCCCAAAAAAUAGUGUAGAGGACCAAGAUCCUUUAAAAAAAACUGAUAAUGCAACUGUUAGAUAAGGUGAGUAACCUGAGUAGAGUGGCUAGCUCCCAAUGACGAUUAUAUCGUCCACAUAUACAAGAACAAGAAGUAACCCAUGAGAAGAAUGACAAAUAAAUAAGGAAGAGUCAUUCUUAGAAGUAACAAAUCCCAAGUGUAACUGAGAAUUACUGAGCUUAGUAUAUCAAGCAUGGGGUGACUGUUUAAGGUCGUAGAGAGACUUAUCUAACUUGCAACCAUGAGUAGGAUAGAGAGGAUAAAAAAAUCUAGGUGAUUGUUCCAUGAAGACGUCUUCAACCAAGUUGCCAUGUAAAAAGGCAUUAUGAGCAUCCAGUUGUCUAAUACACCAAUUUUGUGAAAGAGCAAGGUUGAGCACAAUACGGAUAGUAAGAGGCUUGACAACAAGGCUAAAUGUUUUGAAGUAGUCAAUACCUUUGGUUUGAUGAUAACCCUUAGCUACUAAGCGGGCCUUGUAUCUCUCACUUUGGCCAUCAGGCUGGAACUUUAGCUUUUAGACCCAUUUACAAUUGAUUACCUUGACUGAGAAAGGUGAAGGAACAAGAUGUCAGGUCUUGUUGUGCUGAAGGGCAGCAAAUUCCAAUUACAUGGCCUACUUCCAUGGAAGAUCUUUAAUAGCUUGGAGAAAGGAAGUUGGCUCAGUGAGAGAACCUAUGGAGACACUCAACAACAGUUUAGGCUUAUAGAUACCAGCCUUAGACCUGGUCACCAUAUGAUGAAUAUUGUGAGUGCGAAAAAAAGUAAGUAAAUUUGUAUCCACAUUAGGUACAAGCAAGUCUACACUAGGAGGAAGAGGAAAAAAAAAGUGGAGCAGAUGAAGACAUAGAGUGUGAAAAAAAGGGAAAGGAUGUAGGGGCAAUGAGAAGGGAACAAGUACUAGAGGUAGAAGAGGAAAAGGAAAAAGAAGGAAGUAUAAAUGGAGAAGUAAGAGGAGAUGAGGAAAUGAGAGGCAAAGGAAUGGACAGGGGAAUUUAUAAAAAAGAGGAAGAAGAAAUAGACGAAAAGGGAGAAGAUGAAAAAUUCUUGAAUGGAAAAGAAUCCUCAUUAAAAAUCACAUGGCAAGAAAUAUACACCCUGCCAUAAUGAAUGUCAAGACACAAAUAACCUUUAUGGUGUGAACUGUAACCAAGAAAAGCACACUCCAAUGACCUGUGUAGGAGCUUAUGGGUAUUAUAAAGGCGCAGAUAUGGAAAACAAGAGAAACCAAAAACCUUAAGAUGGGUAUAAGCUAGGAGUUUAUGAUAGAGUACAAAGUAAGGGGAUUGAUGGUGCAACACAAGGGUGGGAAGACGAUUAAUAAGGUAAGUGGCAGUUUGAAAGGCAUAAAGCCAAUAAGAUAGGGGCAUACCCAAGUAAGCAAGAAAGGAUAAUCCCAUUUCAACCACAUGGUGAUUUUUUUGCUUAACUCGCCCAUUUGAGUUGUUAUGUGUAUAGACAAGAUAAACAAUGGACAAUGCCUUGAGUAGAAAACAGUAUGGAGAGAGAUCGAAACUCAUCUCCGCAAUUAGAUUGGACAACCUUAAUCUUGGUAUUAAAUUGAUUUGCAAUGAGAGCUUGAAACUUGAGAAAAGUAGGAUAUGUUUCAUAUUUUGUUUUGAGCAAAUAAAACCAAGCAAACAAGUAUGAUCAUCAAUAAAAAGUAAAAAAUAACUAGCACUAGAAAUAAAGCUAAUAGGAGAAGGACCCCAUAGGUUUGUAUGAAUUAACUCGAAAGGCUUUAUUGUAAUGGAUGGAAAUAAAGAAAAAUGAAGCUUGUGGAUUUUUUCUAAUUGACAAGAAUUACAAAAUUUAAGACGAAUUUUCUGUGUUUGAGCAAUAUUACAAGAAUCCAAGAUUUGAUUAACAACAGAUAAAACUGGGUGGCCUAGUCUCUUAAGCCAUAGAUUUGGAUCCUUGAUGUUGGCUAUGAAAACUCGAGGAGGAAAGAACGUAGUAGAAGGAGAGCAUGAUGACUGAACUUUGUAUAAGCCAUUAUCAAGUUGACCCUAAAGGAAAACCCUCUUCGAAACCUGGCCCUUGAGAAGAAAAUGAGUGGCAUAAAAUUCAACAAAAACUUUAUUAUCAUAACACAAUUUUGUAACACUAAUAAGAUUAUUUGAAAUUUUUGGAGUGUGAUAGACCUGAUGUAGAACAAGAGGAGAAUACGAGGAUGGUAGUUUUGUAGUACCAAGAUGUGAGAUAUAGAGUUUCUUACCAUUCCCAACUACCACUUGAUUUGAACCACUAAAUGGUGUCAUAGUGUCAAGUAUGUUGAUGUUUAGACUAAAGUGAUGUGUAGCACCUGAGUCCAUGUACCAAUUUGUACCAGGAAUAGUGUUAUGCAUAGUAGUAGGAUGAGCCAUUGCAGGGUAAGAAAAUUCUAGAGGAUUAGAGAGCUGGAAUUUGUGGUGAAAUAGUAUUGAAAGAUUUAGGAGAAGGUUAGGAUGGAUAGUUCAAAUUUGUGCGAUGGAAGCAAAUAUGAGUAGCAUGUCUAAAUUUGGCAUUGAGGCUUUUGAUUCUGGAUUGAAAAAUGUGGUUUCCAUUGAGGUUAAGGUUGUCGUGGUUGUGGUUUGCCCAAAAUGAUGGGUUGAUAUUGACUAGUGGUUGGCUCAAAAGGUGGAGGAGAUGAUCUAGGUUGAAUGUGAAUGUGAUUGAAUGUAGGUUGAGGAAUUGAUUUAUAAGGUUUCUUGUUCAGAUGAGCCAUAUGGACUUGAGCAUAAUUGAGAGAAACAGAGUUUUGUUGUUCAAGACGGAAGUCAUAGCUAAGUAAUAGGCUAUGGAUUUUCUCAAUAGUCGGUUGGUCAGAUUGAUUUUGAAUUGAGGUAACAAAAGGAUUAUUCUCAUGAUCUAAUCCAUUGAACAAAUAGUGAGAUGGUCUUUCUUAGAAAUUGGUUUUCUUAUUGUUGCAAGACUGUUGCAAAUGGAUUUGAGUUGUUGAAUAUAUUCUCCAACUAAGAGUCUAUCUUUCCUGAGCGUUUGAAGUUUGGUGCGAAACUUGGUAACCCGUGCCAUAGAAGAGGCAAAGUAAAUAUGAUUAAGGGCAUUCCAAAUCUCCAUAGCUAUUGAAUACCCAACAAUCUAAGCCAUUUUAUCUUCGAACAAGGAUGAGUAUAGCCAACUCAUCAAAAGUCGAUUGUAUCUUUGCCAGACCAAGUACUUUGGAUUGAUGAUUUGUUGUUGCAGAUCAAGGAAUUGAGGAAGGCAAGGUUGAGAUCCGUCAAUGAAAUCAUCAAGUCCUUUAGCGAUGAUGACAUUCAGAAACUAAUUCUUCCAGAUGAGGUAGUUCCCAUUAUCUAGCUUUACUAUGAGAGGUUGAUUCAUAAACGGGAGCUGGUAGAGGAAGGUUGUUUGGCUGAGAUAAUGGGUUUUGCACAUUCACAAUGCUAACAGAAGGUGAUUUAGAGGUUUCAUUGACAGAAGCCACGGAAGCUUUGAUACCAAGAUGAAAGAGGUGAUGAAAUAGAGGGAAACAAAAAGAGAUGAGAGGAAAAGAUGCUGAUAUUAUUUAUCUCAAUAGUCUUCUACAACAACAGAGCAGACAUUAUAUACAAGCAGAAGAUAUACAUCCUAACCAACUGUACAUGUGGAACUAAAAGACUAGAGAGAAAAUAAUAUCCUAACUAAUUACAGCUUUAGGCUUAAUAGCUUUUCAUAUUAGAUCCUAGACUGGUAUUCACUUUCUGGAACUCUGAUGGUGUUGGUUGUUUAGUUGAUAAUAGACUAACCAAGGUGACUAUUGCAAGUGGCAGCCCUUCAAACCUGCUCAAGAGAUCAUCAGAUAUGUUUUUUUAAGUGCUUAGGACAUUCAGUGCUAUGGAAAGCCUUCUUAAAUAAGAGCUCUAAAGCCUCGUUCCCUGCUCAAGGAUGUAGAUUGUAGAUAUCAUCUGAAAAUUUAGAAGCUAAAUCACGCCUACAUGUAGAGAAGAUUAUUCUACUGUUAUUGCCAUUGUCGGGUAAUUUUUUAAUGUUGUUGCACCAACCAUGGCUCCAAACUCCCUUUAAAACCAUCAGGUACCUUCUUUGUUGCAAGUAACUGACCAAAUUUUGUUCCAAAUUUGCUCCUGGGGAAAUUGGUACUCCCAUUUCUUUUCAAUUUUUUUCCUAGGAAUCUUUACAGGAGGUUAAGUGAGGAACCCAAGCAUGACAUUCAAAAUGGCCCUUCACCUUUUCAUUCUCACAAACUUUUUUUUAUCAGAAUGGUCUUACCAGAGCUAGUGGAUCCAACUGCUGAAAUCACUAGAUGCCUUAAUUCUUUCUUGAUAAGAGAUCAAUUGUAUGUCUCUCCAUUCCUAUGAGCUCAUCAUUGCUAAGGACGGGAUAAGCCAUGUCAGGGACCUCUCCUGCACUGGAACUUGAGGCUACUCCAAAGGAAGAUUUUCGAAAUGGAUCUAACUCUUUGACAAAUUUGAUCUUGGCUUGAAUAAUAUCUGUAUAGGAGGAUAAUAUAUGGAAUGCUCUCUAGUCCAUGACCUUGUGGGAAAUGUUAUGAAGAGCUAUGGAGAUUUUAUGCUCAUGGAAGUGUUCGAGCACAUCAACCAUGAACUGUUCAAGAGCAUCCUCAAUCUCAUAUGCAAUCUCCCGUACUUUGUUUCGCGUCGAUCUUUAGCACCUUCAGUGCCUUGUUCUCGUUGCAUGGUGUCUUUGAGGUAGGCUUGCAUGGUUUCCAAAUCUUCUUCAAUAAUGACUAUUUUUAGCUUCGACUUUGGGUUUCUUUAACUAAAGAAGGUCUGCACAACACCAAGUGUUGCUGCAACUGCUAUUUCUGCCAUGAUCUGGUCCUCUCUGUCAAGUCCCUACCUUCUUAAUCCCAAUUUUGUCUCUUUAACCAACAACGACCUUGCUUGUUUUUGUGAAAAGACCUCAACCUCAAUUUAUUAAAGCAAUUGGGAUUAAAAACUUCCUACUUACUUGUUGAUAACUGACUGCUGAAUUUUCAAUUGUUCCUGUCAAUUAAGCUUUUGUCUUGAAUUUUCCUACGUUCAUUUAGAAGAUUGUUGAUAUAUGUAUUGUAACUUGCAACACUAUGUAUAACGACCCAUACCCAACCGUAUAACCUGGAUAAAAAUCUAGUUCGGAUAUCAUUUGUAACAACUUAUACCCAACCAUAUAGAUAUUUGUUAGCCUGAGGGUUCUCCUAAUCAGGUUUUGAUGAUAACAAACCAUGGUUAAGUGACUAAUUGGUUUAAAUGUUUAAGAAUCUCAGGUAUAAACUCGAAAAUUCGUCAAAUGACCAAAUGGAUACAAGAUCGAGAUGCUUGGAAGACUUGUGAUCAUAGGAAACUAAUGUAAGAUGAAUGCUUGAGUGCACUUAAGAUUUUCAUAUGUUUCAUGCAUCUUAAGAAACUCGGUUUAUUCUUUAAAACUUCGAUUUCAUUAAAACCCGAGUUUCUAACUAAUGUACCUUAGGCAAAAUGUUUUAUAAUUGGCUUAAUAAUUUACCUAAAGACCUUGCCUAAGUGUUAGAAAAGAAAGGAAUAAAAAAAUAGGUUUUCGGGGCCAAAAAGGCUCAACCAGUCGAGACUAUGGCCAACCGGUCGACCGGUUAUGCUCGUUCAGGUCGAGGACCGGUCGAGGGAGGUCAAAAACCUUCUCUUUCUCCCAGUAGCUUUCUCUUCCCAGUCGAGGGAUUUCUCUUACCGGUCGAGGUCCGGUUGAGGCAACGGUAACCUGUCAUGCACUAAAUGCUCCAAUGGCUAGUGAACCGAUCGACCCUUAGCUCGAUCGAACGAGGUUACCUUUUGCUGUUUUUGACUCCCGAGCUUAGAAACCUAUAAAUUGAGAGCUCCACUUAAUUUAUUAACAAAAGAACACUUGCAUUCAAUAGCCUACCUACCUGUUCUUGAUAAAAAAGCUCUCAUUUCUUUCAUAGUGCAUUAAAUCACCACUUGCAUAUCCUUUAGUGCACUCUUGUGUGUCAUCCUAACUUUGUCUUGUAUUUGAGCUAUCCUUAAGCUAGGUUGAGGGAUUAUAUCUUGUAAAAAUCUGAGUGUUAAAGCCUUCAAGAGGGUUGAAUCUUGAAGAGGUUGUGUAAGAGCCAAUUGGAGUCGGAAUCCAAGUGUAAGAAGAUUGGAAGCUUGGUUGAAGCUUUAAGUUAGUGGAACCCUCACUCGGUUAGGAGGUUGAAGAGAGUGGAUGUAGUCAAGGAAGUGUCGAACCACUAUAAACCUGAGUUUGAAUUCUCUAAACUCUAUCUCUUUACUUUACUUAUAUUGUGUUUGAAUUUGUUGUAAUUGAAAAGAUUUUAAAAACCCAAUUCACCCCCCUCCCCUCCCCCCCUCCCCCCUUUUUUGGGUGUUUUUAUUAACUAAGCAUAGUCUUUGUUUUCUCAAUUGGUAUUAGAGCUAGACCUCUUUUUAAGACUUAAUAGUCUAAGAGGAAAUGACUAUUCCAUCAAGCUCAUCCCAAGCUGAAAAUUUUUCAAAACAUAGAGCUCCAUUCUUUACGGGAACCGACUAUCCCUAUUGGAAAACUAGAAUGACUUGGUAUUUACAAUCUACUGAUUUAGAUGUAUGGGAUGUCAUUAAAGAUGACCCAACUUUUCCCACUAAACUAGUUGAUGGAGUUUUGGUUCCAAAACCCAAGCAAGAAUGGAAUGAGCUUGAUAGAAGAAACUUUCAAUUAAAUGCUAAAGCCGUUUUUACUUUGCAAUGUGCUAUGGAUAGAAAUGAAUAUAAUAGAAUAUGUCAAUGCAAAUCGGCUAAAGAAAUUUGGAGGUUGCUUGAAAUAACUCAUAAAGGAACUAAUAAAGUGAAAGAGUCAAAAAUCAAUUUACUUGUUCAUAACUAUGAAUUGUUUUCAAUGAAAGAAAUUGAGACUAUUGUUGAGAUGAUUACUACGUUCACUGACAUUGUCAAUGGUCUUGAAGCUUUGGGAAAAACCUACAAGGAAUCCGAGAAGGUAAUGAAGAUAUUGAGGUCUCUCCCAUCAAAGUGGCAUACCAAGGUCACCGUAAUUCAAAAAGCAAAAGACUUGACUAAGCUACCUAUGGAAGAGCUCAUAGGGUCAUUAAUGACAUAUGAGAUCAAUUUGACAAAGAAGUUACAAGAGGGUGAAGACAAAAAGAAGAAGAGCAUAGCCCUCAAAGCUACAACUAAGGAAGAAGAAGAUGUUGAAGAAGAAAAGCCAAGUGAUGAAGAUGAUGAUCUAGCCCUCAUCACAAGAAAGCUCAACAAAUACAUGAGAUGUGAAAGGUUUAGAGGAAGGAAAUUCACCUCUAGAAGGGAUCUUUUUAAAAAGGAAUCUUCAUCCCAUGGUGACAAGGAGAAAUGGGAAGAGAAAAGAGAUUUGACAUGCUUCAAGUGCAAAAAACUGGGACACAUCAAAUAUGAUUGUCCUCUUUACAAGAGUGAAGCCAAGAGAAGAAUGAAGAAGGCAAUGAUGGCCACUUGGAGUGAAAGUGAAGAAUCCUCCGAAGAAGAAAAUGAGAAAGAAGUGGCAAACAUGUGCUUCAUGGCAAUAGAUGAUCUAAAUGAGGUAAACUCUAACUUUAGUGAUGAAGAUAUGCAUGAUGUUUUUGAAGAAUUAUAUGAGGAUUUUGAAAAACUUAGUUUGAAAAAUAAUUCUCUUAAAAAGAAAAUUCAAGAACUUGAAAAUGAACUUGAAGAAGUGAAAGAAAAAUUUUCAAUUGUUGAAAUAUCUAAAACUCAUCUUGAAAAAGAAAAUGAUAUUUUAAGGAGUGAAAAUGAGAUUUUGAAAAAGAAAAAUGAACAGUUAACCUCCUCUCUUUCAAUUUUCUCUUGUGGACAAAAAUCUUUUGAAAUGAUCUUAGCUAGCCAAAAAUGUGUUUUUGACAAACAAGGGCUAGGAUUCAAAUCAUCAAAAAAUCAAAAGUAUUUUAAAAACUACUUUGUAAAAGAAUCCGCAAGUGCAAGUCCUUCCAUCACUUGCAACUUUUAUGGAAAAGGAGGGCACAUUAAUAGUACAUGUCCCUUAAGAAAUGGUUCUCAAAAGACUUCAAAUUCUAAAACUAAAAAGGUUUGGGUUGAGAAAUCCAAGGUUACUAACCCUCAAGGACCCAAAAAUAUAUGGGUACCUAAAUCAACUUAAAUUUUAUUUUGUAGGGAUCAAAGAAUGAUAAGUGGUUCUUGGAUAGUGGAUGCUCAAGACACAUGACCAGGGAUGAAUCCAAGUUUGCUUUCCUUACAAAGAGAAAAAGAGGAUACGUUACCUUUAGAGACAAUUCAAAAGGAAGGAUCAUUGGUCAAGACAACAUUGGUAAUGGCACAUCUUCUCUUAUUGAAAGUGUUUUAUUAGUGGAUGGUUUAAAACAUAAUCUUUUAAGCAUAAAUCAACUUUGUGACAAAGGUUUGAAAGUGAUUUUUGAAGCAUCUCAUUGCAUCAUCAAAGAUAUUCAAAAUAAUAAAACCAUCUUCAUGGGCCAUAGAUGUGAUAAUAUUUAUGCAAUAAAUAUUUCAAAAUAUGAUGGCCAUGAUAGAUGCUUUUCAAGCAUGCAUGAUCAAAGUUGGUUGUGGCAUAGGAGGUUGGGACAUGCUAACAUGGACCUCAUUUCCCAACUCAACAAAGAUGAACUUAUUAGAGGCCUUCCCAAAAUAAAUUUUCAAAAAGACAAAGUUUGUGAAGCUUGUCAAAUGGGAAAGCAAAUAAAAAACUCUUUUAAAAACAAAAAUUUCAUUUCAACAACUAGACCUCUUGAAUUGUUGCAUAUGGAUUUAUUUGGUCACUCUAGGAUACCAAGCCUUGGAGGAAAAUCUUAUGCUUUUGUUAUUGUGGAUGACUUCUCUAGAUACACUUGGGUCUUAUUUUUAAGUCAAAAGAAUGAAGCCUUUUAUAAGUUUUCAAAGUUUUGCAACAAGGUUCAAAAUGAAAAAGGUUUUACAAUUACUUGUAUAAGAAGUGAUCAUAGGAGAGAAUUUGAAAAUAUUGAAUUUGAAGACUAUUGCAAUGAGCAUGGUAUUAACCACAACUUUUCGGCUCCUCGAACUCCUCAACAAAAUGGGGUAGUUGAAAGGAAAAAUAGAACUCUUCAAGAAAUCGUCCCUAGCAGCGGCAAUGGCAACGACACCAUUUGAUUCAGGGUUCGAUCCCCGGCAGCGGCGCCAUUUGAUUCGUGCCCAAUUGGUGUCUCAGCUGAUUCAUGUCCAGCUGGUGCUCCUUGAUUGAGGGAGUAAUCAACAAAAUUUAUAACCUAUUACACCUUAUACUAGGGUAGCAAAGACAAAGCUACUAUAGCAUAGUGGCUCUAGGAUCGUUCACUGGGAUGGGUUUUCACUUUGCAAAUGAUAUUAAUUCAAAGCUGAAUUGGUGCCUUUUCAUUUCAAGGUUAGCUUUGAAAGAAAACAUAAAGAUGUUUGAAUGAAAAAGGUUUAGAUUUAAACUAACCAAAAAUAGUAACUGAUUUUACUUACAAAGAAAAGUGUUUCUUGGAGUUCAGAUCACUGGGCUCAGGUUCCUCAUACAAAAAGGAGAGUUCCGGUCACUUGUUUCUUUUCCUCGCAUUAGAUAAUUAACAUAUAGUUCCUUCUCCAACCGGUGUUGUACAGAUGCUUCCCAUUAAUGGGUUCAAAAACUAAAUCCCUCUCAUUGAUGCACCUUGCAAUGGCUCAUACCUCUCACCUAGCACUUGCCAUUCAAGGUGAUCUUUAACCUUGGAUUACCCGUCAAAAGCUCGCAAGAGAUAACUAAUGGAUGUCUCCUUGGAGUCCAAAAGCUUACCAAGUGUUGGCUAUUCUAGAAAAUCCUACCUUCAAGUCACCUCCCAAGGCUCGCAAGAGAUAAACUAGUGAAUCUCCAUGGACGGAGAUCACUUGCCUUACCAAGUGUUGGCCCAGGUGAUUUAAAGGCGUUUUAAGUUAACUAAAAAGAUAAAAACCAUUAACGGGUCACACUUUCUCUUCAUUAAAAACUAAAACAACAAAACUUCCAAAUUAUGCAUUCGAAAACUUACCCGGUUACCUUACUCCAAGAGACGAAAAGCCUAGCCUCUCAUCCUCUGAGGAAAAAUCCUCAGAGAAUGAUUGGCUAGAAAUAAAAAGAAUGAGAAAACAAAAAUAUGUAUAUAUAUGAAGGAAGAACAAAGCAAGUGCUCUGUAAAAUAUAUAUCUUCCUCCUGUCGAAUUACAUGAUUCUAUGUUACAUGAUGCUAUCUCCCUGAGAACAAGCUCCCGAGAGCUAUAUAUAAAGAAAAUUACAAAACAAAAUAUCUGAGGUUAUUCACCCCUUUUCCCAACUUAAUAACUAAGGAAUUCUAUAAUUGGUGGCUUACAAGGAGAGAAUGGAAAUUUAUACAAAAAUAUCUGAAGCAAAAUAUCCCAAUGUGUCGGUCACAAAUAUCGGGAAGCACUAAGGACCAUUUUGCAGGUGAAAACGAGGUCUGCGAGAUUUCGCAGACAUCCAAAAAGGGCUGCGAAAUCUCUUCGCAGCAAAAGGUUAUUCUUGCAGGGCUGCGAAGUUGGCUUUCAUCUUGAGGUGCUCAGCUUCCAACUUGCGGCAUAUAUAGGGCAACUUCAGGAGGGAAUCCACAACACUGUACAAAAAGGCUGCGAAAUCAUUUCGCAACAAAAGGGUGAUUCCGCAACACUUUUGCAAAAUGCUUUCUUCAGCUUAGAGUGAUUGACUUGCAAUGGCUGUAACUUCUUCGUUUCAACUCCAAAUUGUGCACCGUUUAAAGCAUUGGAUUAUUGACUUCCUGAGCUUUAAAAUGGUAUAUAGAAUGCACAAAAUGGACUUCGAGAAGUGCUCCAAAAGUGCGCAAGAAGACUGCAGCUGCUGUCCUCUAUUUUCUUCACUCUGUUUUUCCUCUCUCCUUUGUUCUUUCCUUGCAUACUUUGAACGACUUUGGCAAAGGGCUAUGGAGCUCCAAAGCUUUGUUCUUCAUGAAUUUGAGCUUCCAAAAUCUUUGCCAUGAACUAUAUACAGCUCUCCCUCAUUCUUGGAUUGCUUUGGUGAUCAAAAAGCUAUCAAAACACCAAAACUUAACACAAUUUGAUUAGAAUUGAUUGCAAGGGUCCUUAACAUGUUAAUUGGGUUAAAAGGCAAUAACUACUACUCAAAAGUGUUUAAAAGAGUUAAUUACAAGCUAUCAAAUAGCACUUUUAGAGUAGUAAUCACUAGAACCAUGCUAAAUAAAAACAAUUUACCAAAAUACUUUUGGCUCGAAGCGGUUAACACUUCUUGUUAUGUUUUAAAUAGAAUUAUAUUAAGGCCUAUUCUUAAGAAAACUCCCUAUGAGCUUUGGAAAAACAAGAAACCUAACAUUAGCUAUUUCAAAGUAUUUUGGUGCAAAUGCUUUAUAUUAAACACCAAAGACAAUCUUGGAAAAUUUGAUGCAAAAUCGGAUGUUGGAAUUUUUCUUGGCUACUCAACUUCAAGUAAAGCCUUUAGAGUUUUUAACAAAAGAACCAUGGUUGUUGUGGAGUCCAUCCAUGUUAUUUUUUAUGAAUCUAACAAUUCUCUCCAAGAAAGAGAGAGCUUUGAUGAUGAUUUAGGCUUGGAGACCUCCAUAGGAAAAUUACAAAUUGAAGAUAGAAGGCAACAAGAAGAAGUUGUAGAGGAUCCCAAGAAAGAAGAAUCACCUUUGGCACUACCUCCUCCUCAACAAGUGCAAGGUGAAUCAAGCCAAGACCUCCCUAAAGAUUGGAAGUUUGUCAUCAACCAGCCACAAGAUCAAAUUAUAGGUAAUCCAUCUAGUGGGGUAAGAACUAGAUCAUCUCUUAGAAAUAUUUGCAAUAAUGUUGCUUUUAUCUCUCAAAUUGAACCUAAAAAUAUAAAAGAUGCUCUAGUUGAUGAAAAUUGGAUGAUUGCCAUGCAAGAAGAGUUAAACCAAUUUGAAAGAAGUGAAGUAUGGGAAUUAGUGCCAAGACCUCAAAAUCAAAGUGUUAUUGGAACUAGAUGGGUCUUUAGAAACAAAAUGGAUGAAAAUGGCAUAAUUAUACAGAAUAAAGCAAGAUUGGUAGCCCAAGGUUUUAAUCAAGAAGAAGGAAUAGAUUAUGAAGAAACCUUUGUUCCCGUAGCUAGAUUGGAAGCCAUUAGAAUGCUACUUGUCUUUGCAUGUUUUAAAGACUUUGUUUUAUAUCAAAUGGAUGUGAAAAGUGCUUUCUUAAAUGGCUUUAUAAAUGAAGAGGUAUAUAUUGAACAACCACCCGAUUUUCAAAGUUUUAACUUUCCUAAUCAUGUUUUUAGACUUAAAAAGGCACUUUCUGGUUUGAAACAAGCACCUAGAGCAUGGUAUGAAAGAUUGAGUAAAUUCCUUUUGAAAAAGGGUUUUAAAAUGGGAAAAAUUGAUACAACUCUUUUCAUAAAAACCAAAGAAAAUGACAUGCUCUUAGUACAAAUUUACGUUGAUGAUAUCAUUUUUGGAGCUACUAAUGUCUCUCUUUGUGAAGAAUUCUCUAAAUGCAUGCAUAGUGAGUUCGAAAUGAGCAUGAUGGGAGAACUUAUCUUCUUCCUUGGACUUCAAAUCAAGCAACUAAAGGAAGGAACCUUCAUCAAUCAAGCAAAGUAUAUAAGAGAUCUCCUCAAAAGGUUCAAUAUGGAGGAAACCAAAACAAUGAAGACUCCAAUGAGUUCAUCCAUCAAGCUUGACAUGGAUGAGAAAGGUAAGCCCGUCAACUCAACUAUGUAUAGAGGCAUGAUAGGUUCUUUGCUAGAUUUGACCGCUAGUAGACUCGACAUCAUGUAUAGUGUAUGUUUGUGUGCUAUAUUUCAAUCUAGUCCUAAGGAAUCUCAUUUAAGUGUUGUAAAACAAAUUCUUAGAUAUUUAAAAGGGACUAUGGACAUAGGCCUAUGGUAUCCUAAGGGUGAUAACUUUGAAUUAAUUGGAUACUCGGAUGCCGACUUUGCCGGUUGUAAAGUUGAGAGAAAAAGCACUAGUGGCACUUGUCAUUUCCUAGGACACUCACUUGUUUCAUGGCAUAGUAAUAACCAAAAUUCAGUAGCUUUGUCUACAGCGGAAGCCGAAUACAUAGCAGUCGGUUUAUGUUGUGCACAAAUCCUUUGGAUGAAACAAACACUAGUGAUUUCAAUUUGAUUUUUGAGCAUGUUCCUAUAAAAUGUGAUAACACUAGUGCAAUAAACAUUUCAAAAAAUCCGGUACAACAUUCUAGGACUAAGCAUAUAGAGAUAAGACACCAUUUUCUUAGAGACCAUGCAUAAAAGGGUGACAUUACACUUGAAUUUGUAAGCACAAAAGAUCAACUAGCCGAUAUUUUUACAAAACCCCUAAGUGAAGAGCAAUUAGUUGAUAUUAGAAGACAACUAGGGGUGAUUUCUUUAUGAUCAAAUGAUUGCUUGAUGAAUUCUUGAUUGAAUAUACCCUAUAAUUGCGUGAAAUUCAUAUCAUAUGCAUCAUAUAGAAAUAAUCCUAGGAAAGAGGUCAAAUUUUAACCAAAAAUCAAAAUUCCCGUGGCAUUGGACAUAAAAAAAUUGGGGAUUUCAACUGAAAAGGGCAGGGAGAGGAUCACGAGACAAGAAAAUGCAACAAAUUUUUGAAAAAUUGACCGUUGACCGUUGACCAGGUGGUCGACCGGUUGAGGAACCGGUUGACCAGUUCGUCGAGGCUGGGAAUUUAAAAAGCCCCCCUCCCCACUUCAUUUCUCACCUGUUCUCCUCCAUAGCUUGAAGCCUCUUCACAUCACUGCUUCCAGAAGACUGUUUUGGCCAGAUUUCGGACCGAUUGAAGGCUAUGAACUUGAUUUUGGGACGCCUUAAGGUUAGGGUUUUGAUUUGAAACCCAGGGUUUCAGCUUUUGGGAGUGUUUCUUCUCUGCACCGCACGCCUCAGGGUUGGUUCAACUUCAUCUCUGUGCGCCUAGGGCUUCGGGUUUGUGAUUGCUCCUUCUCGUUUCAUUUCAUUCUCUCUUUUUGGACUCUUCCUUCUCAUUUUCAUUCAUUGGAUGGCACCAAGGUGAGAAACGGGCACCUCCAGGGCUUAGGGCAAGCGCCCUGCUGAGCUAUAUCAACCUAAGUAGACGGAGGCUCGCCGAAAGGCGAGGUAUGACAUGACCUUUUUCAGUUCGAUUGAAGACUAUCAGCGCUACAAGCAAAAGUUCGCCUAGAGGAAAGUCGUCCCAGGGAGAAAUGUCAAUUUCUCCCAACUUCAGCACUUUGGGUUUGAGGGACCAUUCGGUCGGAUGGGAUGGCUGUCAGUUAUGACAAUAUCUGAGCCAAUCUUCCCAACUUUGGUGCAGGCUUUUUAUUCUCGGGCGACUUAUGGGCUUGGAGAACCGGUAUUGUCCACUAUGAAGGGAGUUGAGAUCAAAUUGAGUCCCGAGAGUAUCUGCCGCAUUCUCGACAUCCCUUCAGUUGGACUCCGAGUGUAUGAGGCCAAGGUGUGGCCCAUUGUGCCGAGAUUUGAGCCUAGAGAGACUGUUCAGAGGUUGUGCGGACUCGUAGAUGCCUAGAAGAUGGGCAAACCAUCAGCACACAGCCUGACUGUGCCCACUUGAGUCCUUCACCACAUGAAAUGCUCCAUUUUAUUGCCACGUGGAGGACAUCGAGACGAGGUCUCCUACCUUGAGGCAUUUAUUGUGGACUCGAUCCUCACCAGGAGACGGAUUCACGUGGGAUAUCUGAUUAUGAUGCAUAUGAUCUCCUGCGUAGAGAGCACGACACGAGUACUCUCUUACGGCCGCUUUCUUACCCGAGUAUUCAAGGAUGCUGGGGUCGACUUGAGUAGAGAGACGGAUUUCAAGGCCCCCAUCAGCUAUGACACGUAUGAUGAGCAGUUUUUGGGGCGCAUGAAAUUCGAAAAGGCACCCGAUGGCUCCUAGGUUAGAAAAGCUGAGCGACAAGCCCUAGGACAGGAUCAGAUGCAUCCCGGAGCAGAGGAGGAGACCGAUAUCAGAGAGAUAGAGGAUGGGUUAGACCCUCACAGGGACUUUGAGCAAAGAGGGCCCGAGCUUGACAUUCUGCCUCCACCUCAAUCAGAGGGCAUUCAUGUUGAGGUUACCUACUCAGAGCCUAUGAUGACUGAGCCGUCUUUCACAGCAGGACCAUCAUCCCAACCAUCAUUUACCGAGCUACCAUCUCAGGCACCUCACACUCCUGAUUAUGCGCCUUGGAUGGCUGUCUCCGCUCAGAUCAGCUCACUUGAGACUCGUAUGGAGGAACUUGCCUUAGUCCAUGACUCUCGCUUCUACUCUAUGGAGGAGCACAUGGAUUAGUAUCAGACUGGAGUCACUUCUCGAUUUGAUCACUUCCAACAGCGAUUUGAGCGCAUAGAGGAGCGUAUGGAUCAACAGCAGGCUACAUUCGAGCAUCUCCAACAAAGCAUUGAUCGUAUUGAGAGUCGUCAAGCGAGUUAGCAUGAAGAGAUGAUGACCUACUUUCACUCUGUGUUUCCUCCUCCACCCCCUUAGCCUUGAGACUAUCUAGACAUUCCCCUCCGUUUAUUUUUUAUGUUGCCAAAAGGGGAGAAAUUUAUAGGAUCUAGGAGACUCUCAUGCAUGUCAUUGUCAUCAUAGUCAUAUCUAUCUUGUUUGUACAUGUGAGGUUUCGUUUCCAUAUAUAUAUGAUAUGAUAUUUUUAUGAUCCAAUGUUCAUUUUUGUGUUUCACAUUGCUUCCUAUUAAAAAUCGUUUGAAUUGAUCCAUGAUUGGUUUGAGGAGAAGAUUUUUUUUCUCUCCUAGAUAACCAAGGUUUGUCAUCAUCAAAAAGUGGGAGAUUGUUAGCUCAAGGGUUCUCCUAAUCGGGUUUUGAUGAUAACAAACCAUGGUUAAGUGACUAAUUGGUUUAAAUGUUUAAGAAUCUCAGGUAUAAACUCGAAUAUUCAUCAAAGGACCAAAUGGAUACAAGAUCGAGACGCUUAGAAGACUUGUGAUCAUAGGAAACUAAUGUAAGAUGAAUGCAUGAGUGCACUUAGGAUUUUCAUACAUUUCAUGCAUCUUAGGAAACUCGGUUUAUUCUUUAAAACUUCGAUUUCAUUAAAACCCGAGUUUCUAACUAAUGUACCUUAGGCAAAAUGUUUUAUAAUUGGUUUAAUAAUUUACCUAAAGACCUUGCCUAAGUGUUAGAAAAGAAAGGAAUAAAAAAAAAAAGGUUUUCGGGGCCAAAAAGGCUCAACCGGUCGAGGAUAUGGCCAACCGGCUCAACCGAUUAUGCUCGUCCGGUCGAGGACCUGUCGAGGGAGGUUAAAAACCUUUUCUCUCUCCCAGUAGCCUUCUCUUCCCGGUCGAGGUAUUUCUCUUAUCGGUCAAGGUCCGGUCGAGGUCCGGUUGAGGCAGCAGUAACCUGUCAUGCAUUAAAUGCUCCAAUGGCUAUGUAGACCCUCAAUUUUGUCCCUCGACACUGGCAUUUAUCCUUCGGGUGUCACAUCCACCCAUCGUUCGCAUAUGGCACUAGUAGGGCCCCUUUUGGGCUUAAUCGGUGUCCGAGCCUCGUGUGGGUUUGUCUGUGGUCCAUUGUGGUGCAUAUGUGGUUCAUUUUGGAGGGUCACCAUGGCCAUUUUCCUAGUCGUUCACAUCACGCUAUAGGAAGGAAGUGGGGUCAUCCCGAUGUCUUAGCUUAGUUGGAGUUUAUAGGGGCAUGUUGAGGUUCGGAGCACUCGGUCUUGUUUUGAUCUUAUCUCCCUCAUCCAAACUCAGAAUCAAGAACUGUUUCUUUUUAUGGAUUCCUUAUUCUUCCAGGAACAUUCUGUAAAAUUUUCAAAAUUUUUUGCAACCGGUCGGCUGGUUGGCAGCCGGUUCUGCCGGUUCAUCGAGUCAGCCGGUGUAGAACACUGAUUUUUGGUAAUUGUUUUGAUCAUAUCUCCCUCUUCUGAACUUGGAAUCAUGCACCAUUUUUUUUAAUUGAUUCCUUACUCUACUAGGAACAUUCUGUCAAAUUUUCAGAUUUUUUUUCCAUCGGUUCGACCAGUUGGCAUCCGGUCCGGCCGGUUCAACCGGUUCAUUGAGUCAGCUGAGGUAAAACACUAAUUCUAGUAAUUUUGAGGCCCAAAUCCUACAUGGCUCAGGCCCGUAAGCUCCAGAUCGGUUUUGGGCAAUGUUGUGGGUCCAUUUUGGGCCUUGGUUUGGGUUCCUUGUAGCCCACCACGAAUUCAUAUGGAUUCUUGGUGGUGAAGCAAGCUGAAAACUGAAGGAGUGAGCUGACCUUGUAAGUUUAAGAGAAGUAAUGAGGGGUGUGGUUCCCAUGCUGAUGAAGGGGAUUUCGGUGCUGAAGGGGAAGGAAUCCAGGAGGCUCAAAUGCUAAUAGGGGUAUGAGUAUAAAAGGUGAGAGGAUAGGAGAGCAAAUGACAGGAGGGGACAUUUUGGAGAGGGGAAAUUUUGCUGAUGAGAAAAACAAAAGGUCAGUAGCAUCUUCUGAGUUGAGAGUGUGGGGGAAAGCUUCAGCACUGUGGUUUUUUGAAGAGGAGAGUGACCGAAUCUCAGUUUUAGAAGUCAUCAUCUGCAUACACGGAUCAUAUUUGGUGGAGAUUAUGAGGUAAGCAUGCUGAAUUUUCUUUACUUACAGUAAAUCUUCCUCGUCUUCAUAUGCUUUUUCUCCUUCCUCAUCAUCUUUUCUUCCCUUUGAUAUGAAGAUUGUAUUGCUUGGGUGUGGAUAAUAAAGGCCACACAUGAUUAUUGUUGUUUGCUUCCUUAAUCACUUAGGAACUUUCUGACCGAAUUUGGGAUUUUUUACCAACCGGCUGAACUGGUUUGGAACCGGUUUAACCGGUUCAGCACCAUAACUGGCAGCCUCUGUCAGCCAUGAGGAACACUUGCCUUUCUUUGUCUGGUUCUCACUCAUCCGGGCUCGGAAUUGAGAACCGUUUCUUUUUUUUGCUUCCUUAAUCAUUUAGGAACUUUAUGACAGAAUUUGGGAUUUUUUACCAACCGACUGGACCGGUUUGGAACCGGUUCAACCGGUUCAGCACCAUAGCUGGCAGCCUCUAUCAGCCAUGAGGAACACUUGUCUUUCUUUGUCUGGUUCUCACUCAUCCGGGCUCAGAAUUGAGAACCGUUUUUUUUUUUUUUUUUUUGCUUCCUUAAUCACUUAGGAACUUUCUGACUGAAUUUGGGAUUUUUUACCAACCGGCUGAACUGGUUUGGAACUGGUUCAACCGGUUCAGCACCAUAGCUGGUAGCCUCUGUCAGCCAUGAGGAACACUUGCUUUUCUUUGUCUGGUUCUCACUCAUCCGGGCUCGGAAUUGAGAACUGUUUCUUUUGUUUGCUUCCUUAAUCACUUAGGAACGUUCUGACUGAAUUUGGGAUUUUUUAUCAACCGGCUGAACUGGUUGGGAACCGGUUCAACCAGUUCAGCACCAUAGUUGGCUACCUCUAUCAGCCAUGAGGAACACCUGCCUUUCUUUGUCUGGUUCUCACUCAUCCGGGAUCGGGAUUGAGUGUCGUUUCUUUUGUUUGAAUCCUCACUCAUUUAGGAGUUUUCUAGAAAAAUUUGGGAAUUCUUCUCAAUAGGUUGUACCAGUUGAGAACUAGUUCAACCUGUUCUGCUGGAGGACUUUAGGUAGCCCUCGAUUUUGGCAUUUUUCGAGCCCUUAUCCAUGGGGGCUCAAACCCAUUUGCUAUAGGGAACUUGUGAGCCAUCUUGAAGGUUUAAGUUAGUGUUUGAUUUCAGUUAGUAUGGGCAAUUUGGAAGUUAUGGGUGGUGUGGUCUAGAUGAGUCUAGUUCGAUUUGUAUGACAUUUGGGGAGUCCCUUACCUCAUUUCAACCAGCUAUCUUCCUUUUUGGCACAAGCUUUGAUGCUUGAUUUUGAAUACAUGUUGCGUGACUGACUCACCCUCUGCUGCAGCGCUUGGCUAGGGACCACAGGUACGCAUCGUUGGCUUUGGUUGUUGAAUUCAUAUGCAUGCAUGGUGCUUAAUCUUGAAUGUUUGUUAUGUGUUUAUCUGUGUUUGGCUGACCUUUUAUGCAGCGCUUGGCUAGGGACCACANNNNNNNNNNNNNNNNNNNNNNNNNNNNNNNNNNNNNNNNNNNNNNNNNNNNNNNNNNNNNNNNNNNNNNNNNNNNNNNNNNNNNNNNNNNNNNNNNNNNGACCGAAUUUGGGAUUUUUUAUCAACUGGCUGAACCGGUUUGGAACCAGUUCAACCGGUUCAGCACCAUAGCUAGCUGCUCUGUCAGCCAUGAGGAACACUGCCUUUCUUUGUCUGGUUCUCACUCAUCCGGGCUCGGGAUUGAGUGUCAUUUCUUUUGUUUGAAUCCUCACUCAUUUAGGAGUUUUCUAGAAAAAUUUGGGAAUUCUUCUCAAUAGGUUGUACCAGUUGAGAACUAGUUCAACCUGUUCUGUUGGAGGACUUUAGGUAGCUCUUGAUUUUGGCAUUUUUCGAGCCCUUAUCCAUGGGGGGCUUAAACCCAUUUGCUAUAGGGCACUUGUGAGCCAUCUUGAAGGUUUAAGUCAGUGUUUGAUUUCAGUUAGUAUGGGCAAUUUGGAAGUUAUGGGUGGUGUGGUCUAGAUGAGUCUAGUUCGAUUUGUAUGACAUUUGGGGAGUCCCUUACCUCAUUUCAACCAGCUAUCUUCCUUUUUUGGCACAAGCUUUGAUGCUUGAUUUUGAAUACAUGUUGCGUGAUUGACUCACCCUCUGCUGCAGCGCUUGGCUAGGGACCACAGGUACGCAUCGUUGGCUUUGGUUGUUGAAUUCAUAUGCAUGCAUGGUGCUUAAUCUUGAAUGUUUGUUAUGUGUUUAUCUGUGUUUGGCUGACCUUUUAUGCAGCGCUUGGCUAGGGACCACAGGUACGCACCCAUUGUUUUGUUUGGUUGAAUUCAUAUGCAUGCCAAAUACCAAUUAGGAUUGUGUGAUUCAUGACAUCUAUUUAGCCUAGGGUUUCAUUUGACCUUUGACCCAUAUGCUCCCACAUACCCAAUUCAUUAGUAGAGACCGAGUUUCAGGCCUAGAGGGGUGCUACCUCGCAUGAGUUACCUUCCCAACGGGUAACCUGAUCCUCGGACCUAGAAUCUAGUUUUCGUAGACCGCUUUUUCCAUACUGGGGUCAUUAGGGGUUUUUGUUCUUACUUAAUUUUCCCCAUUUUAAAAACAAAAAUAAAAAGUAACUGGCGACUCCAAACAACACCGUUCCUCACCGGGGGCGGGUUUUUCAAAACUGGAAAACAUCAACUUUUUCAUUUCUUUCUUUUCUUUUAAAAGCGAGUCGCGUCGGUCCGGUGGAUCGGGUGAGGGUCCACAGGCUAGUGAAUCGGUCGACCCCUAGCUCGACCGGACGAGGUUACCUUUUACUGUUUUUGACUCCCGAGCUUAGAAACCUAUAAAUUGAGAGCUCCACUUCAUUUAUUGACAAGAGAACACAUGCAUUCAAUAGCUUACCUACCUGUUCUUGAUAAAAAAAGCUCUCAUUUAUUUCAUAGUGCAUUAAAUCACCACUUGCAUAUACUUUAGUGCACUUUUGUGUGUCAUUUGUCUUGUAUUUGAGCUAUCCUUAAGCUAGGUUGAGGGAUUAUAUCUUGUAAAAAUCUUAGUGUUAAAGCCUUCAAGAGGGUUGAAUCUUGAAGAGGUUGUGUAAGAGCCCAUUGGAGCUGGAAUCCAAGUGUAAGAAGAUUGGAAGCUUGGUUGAAGCUUUAAGUUAGUGGAACUCUCACUCGGUUAGGAGGUUGAGGAGAAUGGACGUAGGCAAGGAAGUGCCGAACCACUAUAAACCCAAGUUUGAAUUCUCUAAACUCUAUCUCUUUACUUUACUUAUAUUGUGUUUGAAUUCGUUGUGAUUGAAAAGAUUUUAAAAACCCAAUUCACCCCCCCUCCCCCCUUUUGGGCGUUUUUCUUAACUAAGCAUAGCCUUUGUUUUCUCAAUUGGUAUCAGAGCUAGACCUCUUUUUAAGACUUAAUCGUCUAAGAGGAAAUGGCUAUUCCAUCUUGCAUGUCCAUAGAAAAAUUUUGAGCUUGUUUGCCCACGGUAUGGACCUGCUUUAUUUAUUUCAAACUUGCUUUAUAUAUGUGUGUGAUAUGAUGUAUAGUUUUUAAGGUUAUGAUUUUUUUUUUUCUUUCCCUGUGAAUUUUCCCGUUUAGAGUUUUUCACAUAAAUUUGUGUGUUCUUAUUUUGUUUUUUCUUAUUGUCUAUUCUCGUUAUUUCAUAACACAAACAAUCUUCAACUUUUUCAAGCCACAUAAAAUAUCACUUGAACUGUAAUAUUUUGGGUGGUUGGGAAAUAUUUUCUUUAUAUGCUUAUUUGAUUAGUAAUUUGAAAUUAAGCAUAUGGUAAGAUCCAAAGUGUAUCAUAACUCAAUUAAUUAGGCAUAAAAAAUUGAGGUAUUAAAAAAUUAUUUAAAAUUUUAUGAACCUAAUCUAUGAUUUUCCAUUUUAAAAAAAAAAAUCGACACUAAACUAAAUUGAACUAAAAAUUACAUACUUAUGUAUAAUACUUAAUAUCUGUUUGUUGUAUUACUAAAUUUUUGCUAUAUGAUAGCAUACCACAUCUAUAUACUUUAUAAUUGAACUACUUAGUAAUGCUAUGAGAAGGUUAUAUCAAUAGGUAUAUGUAAUAUCCCUAAUUUAGUUUUCACAAAAUAAUAAUAAUAAUAAUAAUGGUGGAUAGGGAAGUUACAAUUUUAAAUCACAACCAAUGAGUUACAAAUUUUAUACCACUUUGGAGAAGUUUUAGUUUUAAAAGAAAAAAAAAUAUUUAACAAUUUUGAAAAAUCAAGAAAAGUGAGAAAAACCCUAGAGAGAUAGGAUAAGAGGUAAAAGAGAGAAAAACCCAAAGAUAAACGUCAAGAUUGAUUUCACAUCGUUGAUUAUUUUUAUUCUCUACUAAGUAAAAUUUAUGGUAAGUCUUUAAAAUAUAUUCUUUUUUUUUUUUAAGAUAUAUGUUCAUGAUAAGAUUCUUAUAUUAAUCAAAGGUAGUACUAUGAAUGUGGCCUCUAAUUUAAUCCUAGACAAAAACAAAGUCUUCGUGAAUAUAAGAGUUUUUAUUAUUAUUUGGAAGAAAUUUUUAUACAAUACAAUUCUAAAAUAAAGAUAUGUAUUUAGUCUAAAGGACAAUUCUAAAAAUUUAAGAAGGUUUUGAAGAAAAAUAUAAACAUAAAUAAAUAAAUAAAUAAUUCAUUGUAGUUGUUCAAUAAAAGAAUGCAAUGUAGAAUAUAUACUCAAUGAGAAAAAAAUGUGAAUAAUAAAGGAAAAUAAGAAAAAUAAAAUAUUCAUUGUACAAUAAAAAAUAUUAAUUAGGAUAUACAUAAGGUUUUGAAGAAAAAUAUAAAGAUAAAUAAAUAAAUUCAUUUUAGUUGUUCAAUAAAAGAAUGCAGUGUAGAAUAUAUAUUCAAUGUGAAAAAAAUAUGAAUAAUAAAGGAAAAAAGAAAAAUAAAAUAUGUAUUGUAAAGCGAGGAUAAAUGUGACUCAAAUAAAAGUAGAGACAACUAUAUAUUACUUUAAUAAUAAAUAUAAUGGGGGAAGGAAUCAUAGAAGAGAAAUGAAAUAGUUGAAAAAAUGAAAGCAAGAGAGAAUAUGAGAGAAUGAGAAUUUCUUUCUUUUCUUGGGAUACUUUUGUACAAAGGAUGGAAGGUCUUUUAUAGGCCUCACAAAAGUGUUCCAUUAAUGCUCUCCAUUAAUAUCAAUAAAUGAAGCCAUUAAUGGAAGACUUUAUAUAAUGUUUUAAUAUAAGUUUUAAUGCAAAUGGGACUUUAACUGGUGACAUCCACCCUUGGAUGUCCAUCACCCUAAAGAAUAUGCCUCACUAAAACCUUGCUAGUAAAAGAACUCUAUGGCAAAAACCUAGCGAAGGAAAAAAAAAGUACAAUUUAAGUUGUUUUUUGUAUGUUAGAAUUGCCUCAUUAAAAAACUUGCCUGUAAAACCCAAUGGGACAAAACCUAGAUGAAGGGAAAAAAGAGUACAAUACACUAACACCCUUUUAAAAACAUUCUCCUCCUCAUGUUGAUAUCCUUGAGUUGACACAUUCCAAUUUGAUAUACUAAGAUAUCAUCAGUAAAGAUAACCACAAACUGAUCCAAAUAGGAUUUGAACACCCUAUUCAUCAAAUCCAUAAAAGUUGUAGGGGCAUUAGUUAAACCAAAAGGCAUCACUAAGAACUCAUAAGGCCCAUAUCAAGUUUGAAAAACGAUGUUGGGUACAUCCUCCCCCUUCAUCUUAAGUUGAUGGUAACCAAAAUGAAUGUCAAUCUUUAAGAAUAUAGAAGCACCUUGCAAUUGAUCAAAUAGAUAAUCAAUUUGAGGUAGUGGGUAUUUAUUUCUAAUAGUCACCUUGUUAAGUUCUCUAUAGUAGAUACAAAGCCUCAUUGACCCAUGUCUUUUUAACUAAUAACACUAGAAUACCUCAAGGUGACACAUUGAGCCUAACAAUGCUCUUUUCCAACAUUUCCUCAAGUUGCAUCUUCAACUCAUUAAAUUCCAUGGGUGUCAUACAAUAAGGUGCCCUAGAUAUAGGAGUUGUCUCAAGCAUUAACUCAAUGAUGAACUUCGCCUCUCUUUCUAGUGGAACUUUAGGAAAAUUCUCAAGAAAGACAUUUGGAAAGUGUCUCACAACCAGAAUGUUUUCUAUCCUUAAAUACUUUGUCUCUAACAAUAUUUCUUUUAUGGCCAAAAGGCUUUCUUGACAAAAAAUUUCAUCUCGACAAUUGUCUCCAAAAUUGUGUCACCCUAUAGUUUUGGAGACGAAUAAUUACAUUUUGUUAGGAAAACGUAUCUAUGACGAAAUGAAAUCUCAUGGCCAAAACUAUUUGGCAACGAGAGUUUUUUGUGGCAUAAAAUAAAAUGUUUUGUUGGGAAUUAGAUUUUCAAAUAUCUAGUAAACCAUUUGGUGACACAAGAUUUCAUUGCGCAACGAAAUUAUUUCAUCUCUAAAUGUUAAUUUAUACAUUAGGAGAUGAAAUAUUUUAAUCUCCAUCAUGUUAACAUAGAGUUUCUACAACGAAAUAAUUUUAUGUCAAAAUAUUUCCACUUACAUUUAGGGAGGAAAUGUUUUCGUUUCAAAAUAUUGACAUAUAGUUUCAGUAACAAAUAAAUCUUGUCUCUAAAUGUUUUCAUUACAAUUGGAGACAACAUUAUUUCAUCUUUAAAACUAAUCAUGUUUAGGUAAUGAGAUAGUUUUAUCUCUAAAUGUCUUUAUUCAUAUUAGAAAAUAAAAUAAUGAAACAAAUUUAGUAUUUAUACUAAUUUGAGGAUGAAAUAAUUUCCUCCCUAAAUAUAAUAUUAUUAUUAAUUUUUAAAAUUUUAAAUAAUCCUAUUGAAACAUUUAUAAACCUGUAUGAUAUUCAACACUUUCAAAUAUAAGAUGAUAUUAUACAAAAUGAAGAAUUUAAUAAUGCAAAAAUACAAUAACCUAUAGAAAAUAAGUAAGAACAAAACAUUUGUUUUAUCAAUGCAAACCAUACUUGCAAAUAAAAUUAUCUACGCUAUUUGAAUAUUAUCUAAAAUAAAAAUGACUAACAUAUAAUAGUAAACCACAUAAUAAUGUCAACUUGAUAGUGAAGGUGGUGGUUAGGAAGCUAAGCCAAAAUGAAGUGGUAGUGAGUUAGAAGUAUUGGUCUGUUGUGGCACAAAACUCUAUAUCAUUGCCUUCAACUAGUCCAAUUAAGUGGUAGUUGUAGUCUUAAACUCUUGUAACUCUAUGAUCUAUUGUCACAAUUUCUUUGUCUCUUUAUUAGGAAAUUUAGUUGCACUGGAAUGGUUAAGUUGUGAUCCAUAUCCCAAACCUUGAACAUAACUUGAUUGCUUCUUAAGCACUCAAUGAGUUAUCACUAAGUCAAACAAGAGUACCAACCUUCUGGGUACUUUGCUUUUGAAUCUCAUGCAUCUCUUCUUGAAAAAUAUAGUAUAAUUUUAAUUAGUAAAAAUAUUACCAUAACAUAUUUACCUUUUACUACUACAAGUAACAUGACUCUUACGUAUCGAGAUUUAAGAGUAUCAUUUAUCCAUCCUUUACUCGCAUUGUAGUAGGUGGCACAAAAUAACUCCACUUCCUUUUCAACCCUUCAAUGGUAAGACUCUUUUACAUGCACAAAAAAAAAUAAUUAAGUUACUUUUAAAGAUAAUGAAUAAACUCCCCUUUACAACUUUUUAGGUAAAACAUGUCUUUUACAUAAAUAGAAUAAAAUAAAAAUAUUAUUUUAAAGAUAUAAUUAAGAAGUAUAUAUUAUAUCAUUGAGUUAUGGUGAUGAUAAAACGCUAAGCAUUUAGAUCCAUCACAAUGAUUGAAUGGAAGCUUUUCAUGAUUUUCAUUAUUUAUAGCAGCCAUUUUCUACACAAUAAUAUUACUAAAAGAGUUAGUAAAACGAAAAUGAAAAAAAUAUAGUAACCUAAGAAUUAGAUAAAUAUGUUAGACAAACAACCAAACAUAUAAUAAAGUAAAGUUUUUCUACCAUGUUUUAAGUAGUCUCCUCCAUUAAUCCGACUAUAUAUACACCUAUGUACAAUAUUUUAAUUUUUCAUAAUAAAUCAACAUUCCAACAUAGCAUUUCAAUUAUUCAUAAUAAACAAACAUUCUAAUAGAAUACUUCAAUUUUUCAUAAUGAAUCAACAUUAUGACAUAAAUUUUGAUUUUCAACUUGUUUUAAACGACAAAUUCCUACUUUAUACUUCAAAAUAUACCAAAUAUACUAAUUAAUGAAAAAUUCACAUUUUCUUUUUUAUCUUUCCAACUUUUAACAUCUACGAUACUUAAACUUGAUUUUUCAAUCACAGUAAAACCAAAUUCUUAACUUAAAAAUAAAUUAAAUUUAUGAGCUUUCAUUCAAUACUGUGACAAAUUAAUUUAUUAUCAAUUAGUAAUAAUUAUUAAUAGAAAUAAAAUAUAAUUUAUAUAUUUUCUUUUCUUUUUUUUUAAGAAUUUCUUCCUUACUUCUUAAGUAAAUUUAGAUAUAUCAUUUUCUCAAGAAUAUUUACUGAAUAUAAAUACAAAAAAUAUAAGAACAAAUUAAUUUUAAUAUGAAAUAAAUUUAAACUCAUAUAUUUUGACUUGACAAUAUGAAAACGUUUACUGUUUUCCAAACAAACAUAAUUAAAUACAUCAAUAUGAUAAUGAAUUACCCACACUAAGACCUGCAAAUAUAUCUAAUAAUUAUAAUUUUUAGUUUAAAAUAAAUAUUUGAACAUCACUAUUUAAUAAUUUCAGACACAUAAAGAUAUAUCUUUAGCCUUAUAAAAUAAACAAUAAUGCAUAAAUUCUCAAACCAAAUUCCACAUAAUAACAAACAAAUUGGAUGAAAAAAAUGGGGAAAAUACACAAUUUCUCAAACAAAAUUCUACUUAAUAGCAAACUACUCAAAAAAAUGAAAAACAAAAUAAAUAAUUUUAGAAACAAAAAAAAAAAAUGUAUAAUAACAAACAAACAAAUAGGAAUCUUAAAAAUAACAAACAAACCAAAAUUAUGUAUAAUAACAAAAAAGAAACAAGAAAAUAUAAAAUAAAAAUAAAUAAUGUAUUAAAUGAUGUGAAAAAUACAUCAAAUACCCAUGUAAACCCCUUAAAAGACCAAUGUUUUUUUUUUUUUUUUUAUUUAGCUGGGGACCACCCGAGGAGGUUUGUUUGGCAUUCAUUUUUCAAGAUGUGGGGACCCCUCUCCAUGCAUGGGACGUGCAGCAGCAGGGGGGUGAUGGCUGGCCAUGCUUGCUGAUGGGUGAACAGCAGGGCAAGUAGUGGCUUGCCAAGGAAGAAAAGAAGACGAAGAUUUUAAGGAGAAGGAUAAGAGAGAAAAAAGAAAAGAAAAAAACGAGGGGGGAGGAGAUCUGAAACGGGGAAGAGAUUUUCAGGUAUGAGCUCUCAUACUGCGGAUUUCCUUGUUCAUCUUCUUUAUUACAUCAUUCUUCAUGCAUUUAUCUGGUGUUUCUCUUGCUUUCAUUUGUUAUUGGGGUAUUUUAUCGCUCUGUUUUCUUUGCCAUCUUCUCCGAGCAUUCAGUUCAAAGGUAAACCCGGAUUCGAUUUGAGUUAUGCCACUGACCACGAAGCCCGUUUAUGUCGGCAUGAAAUGGGUUCCUAUGAUUGUUUGUUUGUUUUAUUAUUUUGGGAAGUGCUCAGUUUGAGGUUGUUCAUCUCUGUUUCUUUUCUUUUUUUUCUUUUUUUCUUUCCUGGUACCUCAAUCUUUGUCCUCCAACACGCGUGUGGAGAUCACGUGUCACUCAGCCGGCGACCAUGCCUACGUCCGCAUUGACUCACCGACCGGAGGACCUGCUCACACGGCUGCACUGCGCCAACGCCGAAGCCUGCCCUCCACCCCCCACCCCCUCUGUGAAAUCCAAUUACAGAAACCUAAAAAAAUCUAACCCUGAAAGUCUUCUUCUCUUUGUCUUCACCAUGGACGACCUUGGGCCACCUACAGAGACGAAGACGAAGAAGACGACGAUUGCGCUGACACUGCCGGAGGAGAACCAAGCGACGGAGCAAGCCAUCGAGAUGGCCACAGCAGCGGUGGGAGCGACGGAGAUGCCGAAAGUCACACAGAAGGCGAAGAAAGUGGAGCUUGGCUAUGAUAGAAUGCAUGCCGCGAGUGGGAAAGGGUACAGAGUGGUUAAGGCUACUAGAGGGGUUGUGUAAGGAGCUUGGUAUUUUGAAAUCAGGUUUUGAAGCUGAGGGAGACAAGGCAUACGAGGCUUGGAUGGUCAACGGAGAAGGGGGCUUGCAGGCGCCAGUAGGGUACGAUGCAAAUGGUUCCAGGUAUAGGGAUAUAGGUGGGAUUAAGGUGCACAAGGCCAUGGAGGAGAAUGUGGAGAGGAAAGAUUAUUUAAUUUGUUCAAAAGAGUUAAUGGCCACGUGCAAGCCAAAGGAAUGUUCUUGGGGUAGCAAUAAAAAAAAAUACCCAGGCCACUUUAUGGUCCCGGUGUUAGCAUAUGAGACAUGAGUUUUAUUUAUUUAUUUAUUUAUUUAUUUAUUUAUUAUGUGUGUUUCUAGUUUAUCGUGCACCUAUUUAAAUAAUUCCUCCAAGUCCCAGAUUCCAAAUUCUAAUCCCCAAUUCCCACAAUUCCAAUUUUUCACACUUGUUUAUUUAGUCAUUAUAAUUAUUAUUAUUAUUAUUAUUAUUAUUAUUCCAUAUUUAUUUAAUUAUUUCAUUUAAAAAUUCAAAUCGUUCAAGUUCAGUUAUUAAAAAAUCUGACUUCCUAAUUUAAUAUUCAAUUGCAAAAAUUCCACUAUUCAUUUUUAUUCGUUUAAAUAUUGUUUUCGUUAAACAACCAUUGGAAGCCGAUCACUCCAAGCUGAAGGAAAAUUUCGCACGGUUGCGAAAUCAGCCUUGGGCUGCGAAAAUGGUGUCCUUUUGCUGUGAAAUUUCGCAGCCCUCUUGCUGUGGAAUUUCUCCUGAAGCUUCCCGAUAUUUGCAACCGACAUUUUGAGACUUUUUACUUUAGAUAUUUGAUGUCUAAAUCCCCAAACUCUCCUUGUAACCCACCUAUCAUAGGAUUCCUUAGUCUUUAAGUAAGAACAAAGGGUGAAUAACUUGUUAUAUAUAGUUGUAAUUUUCUUUACAAAUAAAAAAUCUCGGGACCUUGUUCUCAGAGACAACCUUUUGUAAUAGUUAGAAAUAUAUUUUACAGAGCACUUGCUCUGUUUUUCCUUCAUAUUUUUGUUUUCUCGUUCUUUUUAUUUCUAGCCAAUCAAACUCUGAGGAUUUUUCCUCAGAGGAUGAGUGGCUAGGCUCUUCGUCUCUUGGAGUGAAGAAAGUCGGGUAAGUUUCCUCAUGCAUAAAUGGGAAGUUUUGUUGUUUUAGUUUUUAAUGAAGAGAAAGUGUGACCCGUUAAUGGUUUUUAUCUUUUUAGUUAACUUAAAACGCCUUUAAAUCACCUGGGCCAACACUUGGUAAGGCAAGUGAUCUCCGUCCAUUGAGAUGCACUAGUUUACCUCUUGCAAGUCUUUGGGAGGUGGUUUGAAAGUAGGAUUUUCUAAAAUAGCCAACACUUGGUAAGCUUUUGGACUUUAAGGAGACAUCCAUUAGUUAUCUCUUGCGAGCUUUUGACGGGUAAUCCAAGGUUAAAGAUCACCUUGAAUGGCAAAUGCUAGGUGAGAGGCACGAGCCAUUGCAAGAUGUAUCAAUGAGAAGGAUUUAGUGUUUGAACCCAUUAAUGGGAAGCAUCUGUACCACACCGGUUAGAGAAUUAACUAUAUGUUAAUUCUUUAAUGCGAGAAAAAGAAACAAGUGACCGGAACUCUCCUUUUUAUAUGAGGAACCUGAGCCUAGUGAUCUGAAACUCCAAGAAACACUUUUCUUUGUAAUUAAAAUCAGUUACUAUUUUUGGUUAGCUUAAAACCAAACCUUUUCCACCAAAAAUUAUGUUUUCUUUUAAAGCUAACCUUGAAAUGAAAAGGCACCAAUUCAUCUUUGAAUUAAUAUCAAUUGUGAAGUGAAAACUCAUCCCAGUGAACGACCCUAGAGCCACUAUGCUAUGCUAGCUAAGGCUAUCCUAGUACAUGGUGUAAUAGGUUAUAAAUUUUGUUGAUUACUCCCUUCUGAGGACCACAAUCAAGGAGCACCAACUGGACACGAAUCAAAUGGUACCACUUUCAAGGACCAUUAAAAGGACAUGAAUCAGCUGAGACACCAAUUGGGAACGUAUCAAUGAAUAAUUUUUUUUUUUUAUAUAAUUCUAGAAUAAUGGAAUCUGUGAUAUUAAGUCAUGCUGAAUAAACGGGUUUUGGUGGGGGCCCAACAUGGGUGACUUUAUGAUUGAUUGUUUGAUUGGAUUAUCAUACAUGAUUGAUUUAUCCUACUCUCUGACAUGCAUGAGAUUAUUUCUUAAUUGUGCACUAACCCGCUCUCUUGAUAGCGCAUUGACGUUUGAUGCCAAGGUGUGCCCCGCUCCCACUUUGAUCGUUCUUUAUUGAGUGUUUUGAUUCUCAUAUGCGCAUGAUCAAUUUGAGUAUACAUUGAUUUUCCUACUAAUUGUCAUGUCAGCUUCGUUUUAUUAGUAGAGGCCCGACUUUAGGGACUUAGAGGGGUGCUAUGGUCUUUACCGUACCUUCCCGAUAAGUAACCUGACCCCCGAGCCCUACCCGAUUUUUCGUAGAUCACCUUUUCCAAAAUGAGGAGUCACACUUAGGGUUUUCUUUCUUAUUUUGUUUACACUUUUAAAAAAAUAAAACAAAAAUAAGUGGCGACUCCAAGUCAUUUUUCAAACAAUAAAAUCAUUUUCAAAGUAAAAUCAAGCUCGCCAUUGAGUAGAAAACGCAUGAGUCGAAAUGCAGGGUCCACAACCCAUAAAAAAAAUAUUUAAUCAAAUAUCUUCUCCAAUAAAAUUAUGUAUAAUAACAAAAAAUUUCAAAAUAAAAGUGACCAACAACAGUCAGUAGAACAAACCGAAAUAAAAUUAUGGGUCAUAACAAUCCUAAAAUUAAAUAAAAUAAAAACAUAAAGUUAUAAUAACCCCACACUUGUGUUAUGUGUGGCGUUGUGCAUUGAUAGCAGCAUCAGCGACGCAAGAUUGACCAACAACAGUUGGCAACAUCACUUAAUGGCGAAGAAAACAGCAACUUGCGACAACAGGUAUGGUGAUGAGUUUGGAAUAAUUGAGGAGAACUAAGAGCAAGGGUUUUUGUAGGGAGUUUAGGAAAGUUUUUAAUUUUAGUUUUUUUUUUUUUGUUUUUUUAUGUUUCCAUUUAACAUCCCAGAAUAUUACUUUAUAAUUCCUUAUAUAAAUAUUUGCCAAUUAUAAAAUGGUUUUUAGGAUUGUCUUUUAUUUUGGUUUUUUUUUUAAUUUUUAUUCUUUUAAAAAAUUAUCAAGAUUACUUUAAAAAUAUUUGAUUAAAUAGUUUUUAAAUUUUAAAUAAGAUAAAUGUAAAGUAACUAGUUUCUUUUAGUCCUACAAAAUUGUAAUAUUCUAAGAAUUAAAACUAUUAAAAGAGAUUAUAUUUAAAAUUUUAAUAAUUAUUAAUAUAACUUAAAGUUUCAAAUUAAUUUGGAUAAUUAUUUAAGAUAGUUUAGAAUAUUGAUAUUAAAAUUAAAUACUUAUAGAUAAAGGCAUGAGGUAGUUUUAUGGCAAGUACAAGAUUAAGUAAAUUGCCAAAAGUUUUAGAAAUUUUUUAUACAGGAUUAAUUUUUAAAAAAAAACAAUAUUAAUUUAUUGUUUUAUAUAGUUAAAAUUAGAAUUUUUUUUAUAAAGAAUAUCAAUAAAAAAUACCUAUAAAAAAUUUAAGAAGAUAGAGAUAAUUUUAUAGAAAGGUAAAACAUUAUGUGGUUAAAUUAUUGAAAAACAAAAGAAUUUUUUGUAUCAAUUUCAAGGGAUUUAUAACUUUUUAUAUAUGUCUAAAAAUAAUCAAGGAGAUAAAUUAUAAAAAGAUAUAAAUAAAUUAUCAUUAAAAUGUUAUUAUUUUAUAAAUUCAUAUAUAAAAUUAUAAUAAAAUAUAAUAUUAUAAAAAUUAAAAUAAAUUACUUUUUUUUUUGUCCUAUACAUUCACAAUUUAGAUUUAUUUUUAUGUUUUCAUAUGAAAAAGACUAACAAUGUUAGGUUCUCACAUGAUAAACUAAUUUUUAUAUUUUGUAUAAUCAAUAUAAUCCAAAUUAGACUAUAUAUAUAGAAUAAAAGUUAUAAACAAAAUAAAUGAUUUUAACUUAAUAUAUUUUUUUAUAAUUUAAUUUUUAUUUUAUUAUAAGUUAUUAAGGAUAGUGUAAAAUAUUGGCAUUAAAAUCAAAUACCUAGAUAACGACAUAAGGUGGUUUUGUGGAAUGUAUAAAAUUAGGAAAUAUAGAAUUUACUAAAAGUUUUAUAAAAAUCUUUAUAAAGGAUUUAUUUUUAAAAUUUUAAAUUUAUUGUCUUAUAUAGUUAAUACUAGGAUUUUUUUUUUCUAAAAAAUAUCCAUAAGAAAUACCUAUAAAAAAAAUUAAGGAGAUAGAUGAUUUUAUAGAAAACAUGAGAUUGGUAAAACGUUAUAUGAUCAAAGUAUUAAAAAAACAAAUGACUUUUUUUUUUAAUCAACUUUAAGUGAUCUAUAAAUUUUCCUAUGUCUUUAAAAAAUCAAUUAGAAAAAAUAUGAAAAAAAAUAGAAGAAUUGAAAUAAAUAUAUUUAUAAAUUUCAUUAUCUUAUAAAUUUAUAUAUGAAUCAUAAUAAGAUAUAAUACUAUUAUCCUAAGGGUUCUCCUAAUCAGAUUUUGAUGAUAACAAACCAUGGUAAAGUUACUAAUUGGUUUAAAUUGUAAAGAAUCUCAAGUAUUAAUUUGGAAAUUUAUCAAAGGACCUAAUGGAUACAAGAUCAAGACGUCUGGAAGAUUUUUAAUCAUAGGAAACAAUUGUAAGAUGAAUGCAUGGGUGCACUUAGGUUUUACAUAUCAUUUCAUGCAUCUUUGGAAAACUCGGUUUAUUAUUUAAAGUUACAAUUGCAUUAAAACCUGAGUUUUAUCAAAUGUACCUUAGGCAAAUACAAGAUCAAUUGCAUUAUAUAGUUAUCGAAUUCACCUAAAGAGCUUGUCUAAAUGUUAGAAAAGAAAAGAACAGAAAAGAUAGGUUUUCGGGGCCCAAAGGUUGAAUCGGUCGAGGCACUAGGCCAACCGGCUAGGGUAUCGAUUAUCGGUUCCCCUUGCCCGGUCGAGGAGUGCUAAAAACACUCUCUCUAAUUCAGUAGCCUUCCAUUCCCGAUCGAGGUAUCCUCCUUCUCGGUCGACCUCCAGUCGAGGUCCAGUUGAAGUAACGGUAACCUACCAAAGCAUUAAAUGCUCCAAUAGCUAGUGAAUUUUUCGACCCCUAGCUCGAUCGGUUGAGGUUGCUUUUUGUUUUUCUUGGCUCCCAAGGUUAGAAACCUAUAAAUUGAGAGCUCCACUUCAUUUAUGACAUAGAGAACACUUGCACUUAAUUGUCUACCCACUUGUUUUUUACUUAAAAGCUCUUAUUUCUUUCUUAGUGCAUUAAAUCUUCAUUUGCAUAUCUUUUAGUGCGCCCUUGUGAGUCAUCCUAGCUUUGAUUUGUAUUUAAGCCAUUAUUGAGCUAGGUUGACAAAAGAUCAUCCUUGUAAAUUGAGUAUUAGAGCCUUCAAGUGAGUUGAAUAUUGAAGAGAUUGUGUAAGAGCUCAUUGGAGCCAGAAUCCAAGUGUAAAAUAGAUUAGAAGGUUGGUUGAAGCUUCAAGUUAGUGGAACCCUCACUCGGUUAGGAAAUUGAGGAGAGUAGACUUAGGCAAGAAAGUGUCGAACUACUAUAAAAUCUGAGUUUGAAUUUUCUAACUCUAUCUCUUUAUAUUUGCUUCUAUUGUGCUUGAAUUUGUUGUGUUGAAAAAGUUUUUAAAAAAACCCAAUUCACCAUUUCUUAGGUGUUUUCCUCAUUUAAGGUUAGCCUUUAUUUUCUCAAUUGGUAUCAGAGGUAGACCUCUUGUUUAAAACUUAAUCGUCUAAGAGGAAAUCGUUAUUCCAUCAAGCUCAUCUCACAGUGAAAGUUUUGAAAAAAAUAGAGCUUCAUUUUUUACGAGAACCGACUAUCCCUAUUAAAAAACUAAAAUGACUUGGUAUUUACAAUCAACCGAUUUAAAUGUAUGGGACGUCAUUGAAGAUGGCCCAACUUUUUCCUACAAAACUAGUUGAUGGAAUCAUGGUUCCAAAACCCAAACAAGAAUGGAAUGAGCUUGAUAGAAGAAUUUUUCAAUUAAAUGCUAAGGCCAUUUUCACUUUGCAAUGUGCCAUGGAUAGAAAUGAAUAUAAUAUAAUAUGUCAAUGCAAAUUGGCUAAAGAAUUUUGGAGAUUGCUUGAAAUAACUCAUGAAGGAAUAAAUCAAGUGAAAGAGUCAAAAAUCAAUUUACUUGUUCAUAGCUAUGAAUUGUUUUUUAUGAAAGAAAAUGAGACUAUUGUUGAGAUGAUCACUAGGUUCACCGACAUUGUCAAUGGUCUUAAAGCAUUGGGAAAGACCUACAAGGAAUCCGAAAAGGUGAUGAAGAUCUUGAGGUCUCUCCCAUCAAAGUGGCAUGCAAAGGUCACCGCAAUUCAAGCAGUAAAAAACUUGACCAAGAUACCAAUGGAGGAGCUCAUAGGGUCAUUAAUGACAUAUGAGAUCAAUUUGACAAAGAAGCUACAAGAAGGUGAAGACAAAAAGAAGAAGAGCAUAACUCUCAAAGCUACAACUAAAGAAGAAGAAGAUGUUGAAGAAAAAAAACAAAGUGAAGAAGAUGAUGAUUUAACCCUCAUCACAAGAAAGCUCAACAAAUACAUGAGGGGUGAAAGGUUUAGAGGAAGAAGGUUCACCUCUAGAAGAGACCUUUCUAAAAAGGAAUCUUCAUCUCAUAGUGACAAGGAGAAAUGGGAAGAGAAAAGAGAUUUGGCGUGUUUCAAAUGAAAGAAAUUGGGACACAUUAAAUAUGAUUGUCCUCUCUACAAAAGUAAAGCCAAGAGGAGAAUGAAGAAGGCAAUGAUGGCCACUUGGAGUGAAAGUGAAGAAUCCUUCGAAGAAGAAAAUGAGAAAGAAGUGGCAAACAUGUGCUUCAUGGCAAUAGAUGAACUUGAUGAGGUAAACUCUAACUUUAGUGAUGAAGAUAUGCAUGAUGUUUUUGAAGAAUUGUAUGAGGAUUUUGAAAAACUUAGUUUGAAAAAUAUUUCUCUUAAGAAGAAAAUUCAACAACUUGAAAAAGUAAAAGAAAAUUUUUCAAUUGUUGAAAUUUCUAAAACUCAUCUUGAAAAAGAAAAUGAGAUUUUGAGAAAGAAAAAUGAAUGGUUGAUGUCCUCUCUUUCAAUAUUUUCUUGCGGACAAAUUUUUUUUGAAAUGAUUCUAGCUAGCCAAAAAUUUGUUUUUGACAAACAAGGACUAAGAUUCAAAUCUUCAAAAAAUCAAAAGUAUUUUAAAAACUAUUUUAUAAAAGAAUCCACAAGUGCAAGUCCUUCCACUACUUGCAACUUUUGUAGAAGAGGAGGGCAUAUUAGUAGUACAUGUCCUUUGAGAAAUGUUUCUCAAAAGACUUCAAAUGCAAAAGUUAAAAAGGUUUGGAUUGAAAAAUCCAAGGUCACUAACCCUCAAGGACCCAAAAUGAUAUGGGUACCUAAAUCAACUUGAGUUUUAUAUUAUAGGGUUCAAAGAAGGAUAAGUGGUUCUUAGAUAGUGGAUGCUCAAGACACAUGACCGAAGAUGAAUCCAAGUUUACUUUCCUUAAAAAGAAAAAUGGAGGAUAUGUUACCUUUGGAGACAAUGCAAAAGGAAGAAUCAUUGGUCAAGGCAACAUUGGUAAUGACACAUCCUCUCUUAUUGAAAGUGUUUUAUUAGUAGAUGGUUUAAAACAUAACCUUUUAAGCAUUAGUCAACUUUGUGACAAAGGUUUUAAAGUGAUUUUUGAAGCAUCUCAUUGCAUCAUCAAGGAUAUUCAAAAUGAUAAAACCAUCUUCAUGAGUCAUAGAUGUGAUAAUGUUUAUGCUAUAAAUAUUUCAAAAUAUGAUAGUUAUGAUAGAUGUUUUUCAAGCAUGCAUGAUCAAAGUUGCUUGUGGCAUAGGAGGUUGGGACAUGCUAACAUGGACCGCAUUUCCCAACUCAACAAAGAUGAACUUGUUAGAGGCCUUCCCAAAAUAAAUUUUUUAAAAAUCAAAGUUUGUAAAGCUUGUCAAGUGGGAAAGCAAAUCAAAAACUCUUUCAAAAACAAAAAUUUUAUUUUCAUAUCUAGGCCUCUUGAGUUGUUGCAUAUGGAUUUAUUUGGUCCCUCUAGGACUCCAAGUCUUGGAAAAAAAUCUUAUGCAUAUAUUAUUGUGAAUGACUUCUCUAGAUACACAUAGGUCUUGUUUUUAAGUUAAAAGAAUGAAACCUUUUCUGAGUUUUCAAAGUUUUGCAAUAAGGUUCAAAAUGAAAAAGGUUUUACAAUUACUUGUAUAAGAAGUGAUCAUGGAAGAGAAUUUGAAAAUAUUGAUUUUGAAGAAUAUUUCAAUGAGCAUGGAAUUAACCACAAUUUUUCGGCUCCUAGAACUCCCCAGCAAAAUGGGAUAGUUGAAAGGAAAAAUAGAACUCUUCAAGAAAUGGCUAGAACCAUGCUAAAUGAAAACAAUUUACCAAAAUAUUUUUGGGCCGAAGCGGUUAACACUUCUUGUUAUGUUUUAAAUAGAAUAUUAUUGAGGCCCAAUCUUAAGAAAAUUCCUUAUGAGCUUUGGAAAAACGAGAAACUCAACAUUAGCUAUUUCAAAGUCUUUGGGUGCAAAUGUUUUAUAUUAAACAUCAAAGACAAUCUUGGAAAAUUUGAUGCAAAAUCGGAUGUUGGAAUUUUCCUUGGUUACUCAACUUCAAGUAAAGCUUUUAGAGUUUUUAACAAAAUAACCAUGAUUGUAGAGGAGUUCAUCCAUGUUAUUUUUUAUGAAUCUAACCAUUCUCUCCAAGAAACAAAGAGUUUUGAUGAUGAUUUAGGUUUAGAGACCUCCAUGGAAAAAUUACAAAUUGAAGAUAGAAGGCAAUUAGAAGAAAUUAGAGAGGAUCCCAAGAAAGAAGAAUCACCAUUAGCACUACCCCCUCCUCACCAAGUGCAAGGUGAAUCAAGUCAAGACCUUCCUAAAGAUUGGAAGUUUGUCAUCAACCACCCACAAGAUCAAAUUAUAGGUAAUUCAUCUAGUGGGGUAAUAACUAGAUCAUCUCUUAGAAAUAUUUGCAAUAAUCUUGCUUUAGAAAUAAAAUGGAUGAAAAUGGCAUAAAUGUUAGAAAUAAAGCAAGAUUGAUAGCCCAAGGUUUUAAUCAAGAAGAAAAGAUAGAUUAUGAAGAAACCUUUGCCCCGAUAGCUAGGUUGAAAGCCAUUAGGAUGCUACUUGUCUUUGCAUGUUUUAAAGACUUUUCUUUAUAUCAAAUGGAUGUGAAAAGUGUUUUUUUAAAUGGCCUUAUAAAUGAAGUAUAUGUUGAACAACCACCCAGUUUUCAAAGUUUUAACUUUCCUAACCAUGUUUUUAAACUUAAAAAGGCAUUUUAUGGUUUGAAACAAUCACCUAGAGCAUGGUAUGAAAGAUUGAGUAAAUUUCUUUUGAAAAAGGGUUUUAAAAUGGGAAAAAUUAACACAACUCUUUUCAUAAAGACCAAAAAAAAAUGCUCUUAGUUCAAAUAUAUGUUGAUGAUAUUAUUUUUGGAGCUACUGAUGUCUCUCUUUGUGAAGAAUUUUCUAAGUGCAUGCAUAGUGAGUUUGAAAUGAGCAUGAUGGGAGAACUCAACUUCUUCCUUGGACUGCAAAUCAAGCAACUAAAUGAAGGAACCUUCAUCAAUCAAGCAAAGUAUAUAAGAGAUCUUCUCAAAAGGUUCAACAUGGAAGAAGCCAAAACUCCAAUGAGCUCAACGAUCUAGCUUGAUAAGGAUGAGAAAGGUAAAUCCAUUGACUCAACUAUGUAUAGAGGCAUGAUAGGUUCUUUGUUAUAUUUGACCACUAGUAGACCCAAUAUUAUGUAUAGUGUAUGCUUGUGUGAUAGAUUUCAAUCUUGUCCUAAAGAAUCUCAUUUAAGUGUCUUAAAACGAAUUCUUAGAUAUUUGAAAGGGACAAUGGACAUAGGCUUAUGGUAUCCUAAGAGUGAUAACUUUGAAUUAAUUGGAUUUUCGGAUGCCGAUUUUACCAGUUGUAGGGCUAAAUGAAAAAACACUAGUGACACUUGUCAUUUCCUAGGACACUCACUUGUUUCAUGGCAUAGUAAGAACCAAAAUUUGGUAGCUUUGUCAACGGUUGAAGCUAAAUACAUAGCAGCCGGUUUAUGUUGUGCACAAAUUCUUUGGAUGAAACAAACACUUGGUGAUUUUGAUUUAUCUUUUGAGCAUGUUCCUAUUAAAUGUGAUAAUACUAGUGCCAUACAUAUAUAAAAAAAUCUCGUGCAAUACUUUAGGAAUAAGCAUAUAGAGAUUAGACAUCAAUUUCUUAGAGACCAUGCACAAAAGGGUGACAUAACACUUGAAUUUGUAAGCACAAAAAAUUAACUUGUUGAUAUCUUUACAAAACCUCUAAGUGAAGAACAAUUUGUUGACAUUAGAAUACAACUAGGAGUGAUUUCUUUAUGAUCUAAUGAUUGCUUCUUGAUGAAUAUAUCUUCUGAUUGCAUGAAUUUCAUGUCAUAUGCAUCAUAUAGACACAUACUUAGAUAAAUGGUCAAAUUUUGACCAAAAAUCAAAAUUCUCUUGGCAUUGGGCAUAAAAAAUUGGGGAUUUCAACUAAAAAUGGCAGAGUGGGGAUGAGAAAAUGAGAAAAUGCACAAAAUGUGAAAAUUCAAACCCAUUGACCACGUUGACCAGACUGUCGACCGAACCAAGACCGAUCGACCGAUUCGUCAGGACUAGGUAUUUAAAGAGACUCCCGUGCAUUGUUUUCUCCACUGUUCUCCUCCAUUUCUUCAGGGUUUUUCACAUUUCGGCUUCCAGAGAUCAGUUUAAGCAAGGUUUAGAUCGAUUGAAGGCUUUGGAUUGGAUUUUUGGGAGGAUUAGAGGCUAGGGUUUUGGUUUUGGACUACACUUUCUUCCUCUCGCGUACCACAACCAGGGUUUUCUUCCUUUCCGCACGCCUAGGGUUUCGGUUAUGAGUGCUUCUCUCUCUACCAACCUCGUCUCCUUUGUUUCUGUCAUUCUCAUGGCUCCUAGGAGAGAGUUGACUGCCUUUAGGGCACAGGGCAAGCGCCCAGCUGAGCCGUCUCAGCCCCCUCUAUCGAAGGCUCGCCAAUAGGCGAGGUUUGACACCUCUUUAUUCAGCUCCGUGGAAGACUACCAAUGGUACAAGCAAAAGUUUGCUUAGAGGAAAGUAGUUCUAGGGAAAAGUAUCAAUUUCUCCCAACUCCAGCAUUUCGGAUUUAAGGGAUUGUUUGGUAGGAUGGGUUGGCUACCCAUGGUGACGGUUUCGGAGCUGAUUUUUUCGACAUUGGUGCGAGCGUUCUAUUUGAGGACGACAUAUGGCAUUGGUGGCCCGAUUAUUUCCACUAUUAGAGGACUUGAGAUUCAGCUAGACUUGGAAAGCAUCUGCCGUAUUUUCAAUAUUGCUCCAAUUGGACUCAGGGUGUACGAGUCCAAGAUUUGGCCCACUAUGUCGGGUUUUGAGCUUAAAGAGGCCAUUCAAAGAAUGUGCGGACUUGCAGACGCCUAGAGGAUGGGCAAACCAUCGGCCCACAGCUUGACCGUGAUCAAUAGAGUACUACACCACAUGAUUUGCUCUAUCUUGCUACCACGAGGCGGACACAAAGACAAGGUCUCCUAUUAUGAGGAAUUCCUCGUGGACUCUAUUCUAACGGGGAGAUGAAUUCACUUGGGGUAUUUGAUGAUGAUGCACAUGAUCUCAUGUUGCGAGAGCAUGACCCGUGUACUCCCUUAUGGUAGAGUGUUCAAGGAUGUCGGAGUUGAUUGGAGCAAAGAGAUAGAUUUUGAGGCUCCCAACAUAUAUGAUACAUAUGAUGAGCAGUCUUUGGGGAGAAUGAAAUUUGAGAAGGCCCUCGAUGGUUCUUGGAUUAGGAGAGCAAAGAGACCACCAACACAGGCCCGAGGAUAGGGACAGGUACAUCCUGGCGUAAAAAAGGAGGCCAAGAUAUGAGAGAUAAAUGGUGGAGUAGACCCUUAGAGAGGCUUUCAAUAGAUAGAUCUCGAGCUUGACAUUCCUCCACUCCAAUCAGAGGGUGUUUAGUUUGAGGCCAUAUUUUCUGAGCCGAUGAUGUUUGAUCUGACUUACACAGUGGGACCAUCUUCUCAGCUAUCAUUCACUGAGCCUCCUCACAUAAAGAUACCACCUCAUCAGGCACCUCACGGUCCUAAUCAUGCACCUUGGAUGGAUCUAUCUGCUCAAAUUAGCUCUCUCGGCACUCGCAUGAAGGAGCUUGCAGUAGUCAAUGAUACUCGAUUCUACUCCAUGGAGGAUCGCAUGAAUCGAUAUCAGACUGGUUUCACUUCUCAAUUUGAGUAUUUGUAGCAGAGAUUUGAGUGUAUGGAUGAUCACAUGGAUCAACAGUGGGCUGGGUUUGAGCAUCUCCAGCGAAGGAUUGAGUGCAUUGAGAGUCGCCAGAAGAGUCAGCAUAAGGAGAUGAUGGCUUACCUACGCUCCGUGUUUCCACCUCCACUUCCUUAGCCUUGAUUUCAUAGAGACCUCCUUCGUUUCUUUUUUAUAUUGCCAAAAAAGGGAGAGAUAUUUAGGAUCUAGGAGACUUACAUGCAUAUCAUUGUCAUAUCUUUUGUUUGGAUUAUAUAUAUAAUAGGCUUAUAUGUUUCAUGUACAUUUGACUUAUAUAUGAUAUGUUAUAUGUUUCAUGACUUACACUGUUUCAUAUUGAAAAUUUGCAUGUCUUGAUUAUCUUGGUUUUAACUUCAUAAAUUUUGAUUGAUUGAUCCAUGAUUGGUUUGAGAGGGAGAUUUUUCUUCUCCUAGAUAACCAAGGUUUGUCAUCAUAAAAAAAUGGGAGAUUGUUAGCCCAAGGGUUCUCCUAAUUAGGUUUUGAUGAUAACAAACCAUGGUAAAGUUACUAAUUGGAUUGAAUUGUAAAGAAUCUCAAGUAUUAAUUUGGAAAUUUAUCAAAUGACCUAAUGGAUACAAGAUCAAGACGUCUAGAAGACCUUUAAUCAUAGAAAAAAAUUGUAAGAUGAAUACAUGGGUGCACUUAGGUUUUACAUAUCAUUUCAUGCAUCUUUGGAAAACUCAGUUUAUUCUCUAAAGUUACAAUUUCAUUAAAACCCGAGUUUUAUCAAAUGUACCUUAAGCAAAACAUUUCAAAAUUGGCAUAUUAAUUUACCUAAAGACCUUACCUAAGUGUUAGAAAAGAAAAGAACAUAAAAAGAUAGGUUUUCGGGGCCCAAAGGUUGAACCGGUUGAAGAACUAGGCCAACAGGCUAAGGUAUUGGUCGAUCGGUUACCCUUGCCCGGUCGAGGUCCGAUUGAGGAGUGCUAAAAAAAUUCUCUCUCAUCCAAUAGUCUUCCCUUCCUAGUCGAGGUAUCCUCAUUCCCGAUUGACCUUCGAUCGAGGUCCGGUUAAAGCAACAGUAACCUACCAAAGUAUUAAAUGCUCCAACGGUUAGUGAACCGGUCGACCCCCAACUCAACCGAUUGAGGCAGCUUUUUGUUUUUCUUGGCUCCUGAGGUUAGACACCUAUAAAUUGAGAGCUUCACUUCAUUUAUGACAUAGAGAACACUUGCAUUUAAUUAUCUACCCACUUGUUCUUGCCUUAAAAGCUCUCAUUUCUUUCUUGGUGCAUUAAAUCUUCACUUGCAUAUCUUUUAGUGCACCCUUGUGAGUCAUCCUAGCUUUGAUUUGUAUUUGAGCCAUUAUUGAGCUAGGUUGACAGAAGAACAUCUUUGUAAAUUGAGUGUUAGAGCGUUCAAGUGAGUUGAAUCUUGAAGAGAUUGUGUAAGAGCCCAUUAGAGUCGGGAUCCAAGUGUAAAAGAGAUUAGAAGCUUGGUUGAAGCUUCAAGUUAGUGGAACUCUUGCUCGGUUAGGAGAUUGAGGAGAGUGGAUGUAGGCAAGGAAGUGUCAAACCACUAUAAAAUCUGAGUUUGAAUUCUCUAACUUUAUCUCUUUAUAUUUGCUUCUAUUGUGCUUGAAUUUGUUGUGUUGAAAAAGUUUUUAAAAAACCCAAUUCACCCUUCUCUUGGGUAUUUUUCUCAUUUAAGAUUAGCCUUUAUUUUCUCAAAUAUUAUAAAAAAAAUUAAAGUAAAUUACUUUUGAAAUUUUGUUAUUUUUUACAUUUACAAUUUAGAUUUUAAUACAAAGAAGACUAAUAGUACAUUUUAUUGAGGAUGAAAUAUUUUCGUCUCCAAUAUUGAGUUUUUACAACAAAAAAAUUUCUUCUCUAAUAAAUUUCUUUAUUCCUCCUUCUAAUGGUAUUAGGACAAUAAUUUUGUCCCUCGUUGUGAGGUUUUUCCUCUCCAAAACUAUUUAACAACAAAAUAAUUUUUAUUGCCCAUUAUUUACCUUUUGGGACAACAUUAAGUUUUCAUCUCCUAAUACAUUUUCUACCAUGAAAUAUUUUGUUAUUAAAAUUUAUGAUGUCGUCAAAAAUAAUUUGGCCUCAUUUCACACUCAAUUAAAAUUUUAGACACAAAUUUUUGUAACAAAAUCAAAUUUUGUUUCCCAAAAUCAUAUUUGGAGACAAAAUUAUAUUCAUGUCCAAAAAAAUUGUGCCAAAAGGUAGAAUUUCUUGUAGUGCCUUUACUUAUUAGAUGAACGAUAAAAAAAUUUCCUUUAUCAUUCUCUCUCUCUCUCUUUAACAUGUAAGCUAAAUAAAUAAAUAAAUAAAUAAACAAGAAUACAUUUCUUCAAAGAAUUUUACCUUAAAUUUUACUCUAUAGAGAAUAAAAAUUGUCAAUGGUAAAAUCAAUCUCAACAUUUAUCUCUUUGUUCUUCUCUUUUUUAUUUCUUCAUCUAUCUUUCUAGGGAUUUUCUAUCAUCUUCAGAUUCUUCAGACUUAUAUAUAUUUAAAACUAAAACUCCCCAAACUUGGUUUAAAAUUUGUAACUCCCCAAUCAUGGUUUAAAAUUGUAACUUUUUUAUUUUUUUAUUUUGUUUUUAAUAAUGUAUCCUUAUCUUUAUCCUUAUUAUUAUUAUUCUAUGAACUAAAUUAGGAAUUUUAGACUAUCCACUCUUUAAAUUAGGAAUAUUAUUUAAACCUAUUUUAACCUAACAAAAAUUUUAUAUCAAUUGGUACUAAUUUAUUCCUACAAUAAUUAAAUUUAAAUGUAAGAAUUUAUUCUUUUUUUCUUCAUACAUUAUUGAGUACUAAAUUAAUAUAUAUAUAUAUAUAUAUAUAAUUUUUUUUAUAUUGUACAUUGCAUAUUUUAUUUUUCCUAUUUUCCUUUAUUAUUCAUGUUUUAUUCACAUCAAAUAUCCAUUUUGCACUACAUUUUUUUAUUGAACAACUAAAAUAAUUUUUUUUUAUGUAUUUAUCUUUAUAUUUUUCUUGGAAACCUUACUUCUUAAAUCUAUAGAAUUUUUCAUCAAACUAAAUAUAGUUUUUUAUUUUAGAAUUAUAUUGUAUAUAAAUUUCUUUCAAAUAACAAUAAAAACUCUCAAACUCACAAAGACCUUGUUUUUGUCUAGGGUUAUAUUAGAGAAAACAUUCAUCAUACUACUAUUAAUUUUUUUUUCUUUUCUUACUUCCUAAACCUUUACUUAUUAGAUGAACGAUAAAAAUUUCUCCUUCUCGUUCUCUCUCUGUCUCUCUUCAACAUGUAAGUUAAAUAUAUAUAUAUAAAAGAAUACAUUUCUUCAAAGACUUACCUUAAAUUUUACUCUAUAGAAAAUAAAAAUAAUCAAUGGUAAAAUCAAUCUCAACAUUUAUCUUUUUGUUCUUCUCUUUUUUAUUUCUUCACCUAUCCCUCUAGGGGUUUUCUAUCAUCUCUAGAUUCUUUAGAUUUGUUAUAUAUAUAUAUAUUUAAAACCGAAACUCUCCUAACUUGGUUUAAAAUUUGUAACUCCCCAAUUGUGGUUUAAAAUUGUAGCUUUUUUUUAUUUUUUAUUUUGUUUUCAAUAAUGUAUCCUUAUCUUUAUCCUUAUUAUUAUUAUUAUUAUUAUUAUUAUUAUUAUUAUUAUUAUUAUUAUUAUUAUUAUUAUUAUUAUUCUAUGAACUAAAUUAGGAAUAUUAAACUAUCCCCUUUUUAAAAAAAAGUUUAGUCUUCUAAACUUAGCAUACUUGAAAUUAGAAAAAAAAAAUGUGAAAACUUUUCCCUCAUCUCAUCUUCAAGUCCCCAAAUCACCUCUCAUUUAGAGUUAUUACUCCAUUGAACUUUGACUAAUUUGAUUGUUACAAGAAGAAACAUCUUAUCCAUCAUGUCAACAAUCUGAAUUGGAACUUCCUCAUAAGAUAGAUUUUAUGCUAAAUGAAUCGGUUAAAGUUCCACAACAUGUGAAGGAUCAUAAACAUACUUUUUUAAUGCUGAUACGUGAAACACAUUAGGAACCUUUUCCAAACUUGGGGGUAAAGCCACCCUUUAUGCUAAGGUGCUAACUUUAUCCAAAAUUUCAAAUGGUCCCACAAACCUAGGACUAAGUUUUCUUUUCAAACAAAAUCUCAUAACCAACUUAAGAGGUGAUACUAUGAGAAACACAUGAUCACCAACCUAGAACUCUAAAUUUCACCUUCUAUUAUCAAUAUAGCUAUUUUGUAUACUCUGAGCUAUUUUUAAUCUUUCUCUUAUUAAAGCAAUUUUUUUAUAAGUUUCUUGAACUAAUUCUGGUUCCAAAAAUUUUAUCUCACCAACCUCAUCCCAAUAAACAAAGGACCUACACUUUCGACCAAACAAAGCUUCAAAAGGUGGCUUCCUACUUUGAAAACUAUUGUUGUAGGCAAACCCCACUAAGAGUAGAUGGUUGUCCCGAUUACCUCCAAAAUCUAAAAUACAUGCCCAAAUCAUAUCUUCCAAAAUUUGAAUUACCCUUUCUGAUUGUCCAUUGGAUUGAGGAUGAAAGGUUGUACUAAAAUUUAGCAGAGUUACCAUAGCUUUUUGCAACCUCUUCUAAAAUUGGGAAGUAAAACGGGCGUCUCAAUUUGAUACUAUAGAUAUUGGAAAUCCAUACAUCCUCACAAUCUCCUUAACAUACAACAAGGCUAAUUUGUCCAAGGACCAAGUAGUUUGAAUGGGUAAAAAGUGGGUUAAUUUAGUUAGUUUAUAAACAAUCACCCACACAACAUUACUUCCCACCACAAAUUUGGGAAAGCUAAAAACAAAAUCCAUUGUAAUGUGUUCCCACUUCUAAUUAGGAAUGAGAAGUGGUUUCAACAUACCUAAUAGACGUUGAUACUCGGUUUUGACCUACUAACAAGUCAAGAAUUGGGUAAUAUAUUAAGCGACACCACGCUUCAAACUAGGUCACCAGUAAAGUUAUCUCAAAUCCUGUUACAUUUUGGUCUCAUUGGGGUAGACUACAAACUUAGAGGAGUGAGCUUCCUUUAAAAGCUUUUUCAUGAGAUUUCCAACUUAGGUCACAUACAUACAAACAAAUUCUAAAUCUCAAUAUUCCAUCAUCUAGAAGUACAAAGUAAAACUUAGUUCCCCUUCCUAUAUAUAAUUUGAACGACCUGUAGAUCAUCUAUUUGUAAGGACUUGAUCAUCUCAAACAAAUUUAGUUGAACCUUAAGAUGAGCAAAUAAUACUCCAAACUAUAAAACUUCAAAUUAAACUAGUAGUCUAUUCAAUUCGAAUAACAUAUAUGGUUUUCUAACCCUCAAGGCUACUAAAGAACCAAAAGACUUCUUACUUAAAGCAUUUACUACUAUAUUCGCAUCACCAUAAUGAUAUAGAAUAAAGCGGUUAUAGUUCUUGAGGAGUUCAAGCCACUUUCUCUAUCUCAUAUUCAAUUCUUUUUUAGAAAACAAACACUUUAAUCUUUUAUAAUUAGUGUAGAUCUCACAUGUCUCACCAUACAAAUAGUGUCUCCAUAUCUUAAGAGCAAAAAUCACUAUUGCUAAUUCCAAAUCAUGAGUAGGAUAGUUUCACUCAUAAGGUUUCAAUUACCUAGAAGGAUAAUUGAUGACUUUCCCCUCCUGCAUGAGAACACAACCAAGCCCUUAAUGUGAAACAUCACUAUAAAUAACAUAACCCAUCGAACUUGAGGGGACUGUUAACAUUAGAGUAGUUACCAAUCUAUUCUUCAACCCUUGGAAGCUUUUCUCACAACCAUUAGACCACAAAAAUUUGACCCUCUUUUUAGUAAGCUUUGUUAAAGGUUCUUAGAGAUUCCCUUUGAAAUGUUUGUAAUAACCACCUAAACCUAGGGGACUCCUAACCUUAGUUACCGAGUUAGGCUUGCUCCAACUAAGUCUACCGAUAUUCCCUCCUUGGAGAUUACAUGGCUAAGAAAUAAAACUCUAUCCAACCAAAAUUCACAUUUCUUAAGCUUAAAAAAAAAAAAAAAAAAAGUUGAUCUAGGUUUAGGAAGUAAGAAAAAUAAUAAUAAUAAUAAUAAUAAAUAGUAGUACGAUGAAUUUUUUUCUCUAAUUUAACCCUAGACAAAAACAAAGUCUUCAUGAGUGUGAGAGUUUUUAUUAUUAUUUGAAAGAAAUUUAUAUAUAAUACAAUUCUAAAAUAAAAAAUCAGUAUUUAGUUUGAAGAAAAAUUCUAUAGAUUUAAGAAGUAAGGUUUCCAAGAAAAAUAUAAAGAUAAAUACAUUUAAAAAAAAUCAUUUUAGUUGUUCAAUGAUAUUCGAUGUGAAUAAAACAUGAAUAAUAAAGGAAAAUAGGAAAAAUAAAAUAUGUAAUGUACAAUAGAAAAAAAAACAUUAAUUAGGAUAAUUAUAUAUAUAUAUAUAUAUAUUAAUUUAGUACUCAAUAAUGUAUGAAGAAAUAAAGAAUAAAUUCUUACAUUUAAAUUUAAUUAUUAUAAGAAUAAAUUGGUACCAAGUGAUAUAAAAUUUCUAUUAGGUUAAAAUAGGUUUAUAUUAAUAAGAUUUAUUUUAUUUUUUUAGGUAAAUCCUAAGUUUAAUCAACUUCCUUGCCGAGUUCAACUUUUACUAGGUAAGGAAUUAUGACCCUUAAAUAUUUUCUAAAGUAUUAUUUUUCUAAAAGGGUAGGAAAAUAUUUUACUAUAUGAAGAAUAUUUUAUAUUGUGAAAAAUAUUACUAUUAUUAUAUAUUCUGAUAUCUGGCCCUAGUCAAUAGGGGUUGUGUUGUUGACCCUCAUUACUUAAUUGUAUAAGGAUUGGAAAACCUAGUCAAUGGGAUAGUCACUAACCCUCAUUACUUAAGUGUAUGAGGAUUGAAAAACCUAGUUAGUGGGAUAAUCACUAGUCUGAUGGUACCAUAUGAUUGGUUAGUCCCUUCUGAAUUGAAGGAUCAUCUGUUUCUAAAGAUCCCAUUAGUUUGGGAAAAUAAUUUUUUUUAUACCUAUAUGUUUGAAGAUUAUAUUAUGUUAUGUCACUUUCUUUUUUUACAUAUAAAAUAAAUCGUUAGUAUAUUCCUUAUUGAGCUAAAGCUUACUACUUUUGCUUUUCAAAACCCCUUUUAGGUUCCCCAAAUGUAGAUGGAAAUGAGUGACAUUGAAUAUAGGACGGGUUCUUGUUAGUUAAGUUUAUGGUAGGCCUUAAAGCCUUUGUUUAGACAUGAUGAUUUGGACCAUGUGUUAUGUUUUAAUUAUCAAGUUAAUUUGAACAAAAUUAGUAUUUCAUAAUUAUGUGAAUCAUGAAACUUCUAUCUUAGAAAAAUAAUUUUAACUCUAUGAACUCACUCUUAAGGGGAAUGUAUGAAUUUUGUUCUUUUUUAUUAUUUAAUCAUUUUUGCAUAUUUUGCCUUUAUGUUGGACAUCCAAAAUUUACAAGGUUAGCCCUAGCCUCAGGACAUAAGGUGUUACACUAUAUAUAUAUAUAAAAUGAUUUGAAAUAAUGUAAUUUAAAUAUGAUUUGAAAUAAUGUAAUUUAAAUAUGAUUUGAAAUAGAUUGCAAUAAUGUAAUUCAAAUAGGUCUAUUAUAAUAGUAAUUUAAUUUUUUUUUUCCUUUUUUUAAUCUUUGGAUCAUAACAUUUGAUAAACCUUUUGGUUUUGGCCAAAAUUUAACAUUUUAAAAAAUAAUUAUUGGUUUUUGUUAUUAAAUAGAAUUGAAAAAAAAUGGACAUCAUUGUUAUAAACUGAAUUGAAUGAUUUCUUUCAAUUAAUUCAACUUUUAAUAGAUGAGAAUUCAUUACAUGGAUUCAAUCGUAUACACCCUAAAGUUGACAGCAAAUUUAUGGGAAGGAUAAAAGGAAUGAAGACUUAUAAUUUUAUAUUUUGAUAUAGCAUUCGACACAAGAAAAGUAUUCAAGAACAAAAGUGUUUGUUUUUUCAACUUGCUUUCAAACCUUAAGUAGUUUGUUUUUUUACUUUUUCUUGAUUUAUUACUUAUUUUUUUUAAAAAUUGAUUAAAUAGAAAAAAAUAAAAUAUUUGAUUUUUUUUAAUACUAAAAAUAGUUAAACGUAAUAUCAUAAUUACAGGGAACCUGUUGAAUUUUAUUUUAUUUUUUUUGUUACUUUUUAACACUUAAUAGAAAUACAAUAUUAAAAAAUAAACUAGCUUAAUACUUAAGGCUAUCAAGCAAUAUUUAGUUUUAAAUUCCAUUUAGAAUUAAGUGAAAGAAAACAAAUACUGCCUAUGUUUUAAGUAUAGCAUGUGUUUUAAAAAAAUUUCAAACUCAUCCCUAACCUAUUUAUUUAAAUUCUAAUCCCGCCUUCAUCUCUACUAGUACAUAUUAAAAUGUGGGUUCCACACAAAUAAAUUAACGUGGUGGCCGUGUUGGAGACAUGCUUAGAAUAUGAUACAAUGGGAGUAUGAGAAUAUAUACAAAACAUAGAAGCAUAUAAAACAUAUAAAUAAAUGUAUGAAAUCAUAAGAAAUUGGGUGCAGCAUAUAAAAACAUAUUGCUUUAAGAAUUCUGGUGUGCUGAAAAUAAAGUUUGGUGGGCUAUGACUGCAAUCCUUAGGAUCGUAAGAUAUCAUGCUUAUGCUUUUGUGUGUGUUAAUAUAAUGGCUAGUGACAUCUAAAAACCAAAGCACAAUGUUUCAUGUGCUGAGCAUGCAUUGUGCCUUUGUGAUAACAGGUACUUUGAUUACAAGAUUAUAGGAUUUCUAAUCUCAGUGCUUGCAACUUGGGGUGCAAUAUGUGCCUACUAGAAGGGAAGAAGAAGAAUCACUUUUGCUAGAAGGCAUAGAAAAGCAAGGACCUUAUUUAACUUUGUACGGUACAAUGCCUAUCAUAGAGUUGCCCUGCGAUAUCAUCAGAAUUCAACCUUUUUUCCUUUUCUAUGUACAAACCUUUCCAUCUUCAAAGAUUUCCUCUAUAGAUCACAUCCACACAUUUUCAUUCCACACAUUCUCAUUCAGUUUUUUAUGCCCAAAUUUGUAUGUUCUGCUGGGAUUGCAGUUGAAGUUAUUGUCACCCCCAAAGCCAUACUUGGUGCGGUACCCUGUGUAGUCCCUAAAAUUAAAGGGCACUUCUUCUAUAAGUCGAAGCCCAACUCUUGAGGCUAGAAAUUUCAAAUUCCACUCACGAAAGAAGCCAUUGCUUUUGUGAGUAAUGUGGAUUUCUCCAUCUAUGUGAAUCAACUUCUUAGCAUUUUCUAAAAACAGCUGUACCAGCAGUUGAUUUCGCCUGCAAGAAGAAACAAUGAUAUAGAAGGAAAAUUUUCAUGUAAGAAUUGGGAAUACAGGCUAUACAUAAAUUCAAUUCAUAGGAGCUUUUCAAAGAAAGAAUCUACCAACCAGAUCACAGGGAAAAAAUCCAGCGAAUGGGAAGUUGUAAACAACUCGAUCAAAACUCAUGCAUUUGAAUGGGAAAACGUUUGCCAUUUUGGUGGCAUCAACAUCAUGCAUGACCUUAGCUCCCAAGCUCCGUAGUGUAUCGAUGUUGGACAAGGCAUGCCUAUAGUUUGUGCUCAAAAACUCAGAAAAUUGCAGUUGAUAGUCGUCAAUUAAGGCCAUAAGACAAACCCCAAAUGGGUGCUGGGGCACAUGCUAAUCAAGGUUUACUCGGGACUAGAAUGAGAAAAUACCCAAAUCAAUCAAAAUCAUGACAUUCAUGAGAAACACUCAAAGAAGAUUACCAACUUAUGAUUCAGGAUUUCUUAUUUGUUACCUAUAGAAUCAUGAGAAGUAGCGGUUAUGUUUGUAGCAGAAGCAAAAGCCACAGCCAAAGACGCAGAGAAUGAGAAGUCCCCUUCACCCAGCAGCAAUAUUUUGUACUCACUGCUGUAGUGCUUUAUCCAUCUUACUCCAAGCUUUCCUUCCUCUACGUCUUCUUCACAGCUGCUGUAGUCCCACCAAUUUUUUCCUACCGCUCCUCUGGUUCGUUCUUCGUUUUCUUCAAUUAUGUCGUAAUGGUGGAGCCGUGCAGAAACUUGCUUCUCAUCACCUACAACUUGGACUUUAAAUUUUGCAGGAAUUAACAGAUCCAAUGCAUCAUCAGACCUGGAAUUGCUGCGUGAGUCCAAGCUCAGUGGAAAACCCAGAGAGUUUCGCUGCGAUGCACCAUUGAUGCCUGAGUUGCUGCUUGGGACAGAGCUCAGUGGAAGAGUCACUGGAUUUGGCUGGAAAUGGGAUGCACCACUCACGCUAGAGUGGCUGCAGGAGCUAGAGAGUAGUGAAGAAUGAGUCUGUAUCUUUGGCUGAGCAUGAGAAGUACCACUUGGCCUGGAUAGGCCACACGAGUUGGAGCUGAGUGGCUGAGGAGUCUGCACUGGUUUUGGGUAAAAAUAGGUUGUGCUGGAUUGGCUGCAUGAGCUAGAACUUAGCUGUUGGUGAGUCUCUAGUUUUGGUUGGACAGGGGAUGAUACAGUCGUGCUGGAGAGGCCACAUGAGCUCAAGUUGAGUGGCUGAUGAGUGUGCACUAGUUUUGGGUAAAAAUGGGUUGUGCUGGAUUGGCUGCAUGAGCUAGAACUCAGUUGUUGGUGAAUCUCUAGUUUUGGCUGGAGAGGCCACAUGAGCUCAAGUUGAGUGGCUGAUGAGUCUGCACUAGUUUUGGGUAAAAAUGGGUUGUGCUGGAUUGGCUGCAUGAGCUAGAACUCAGUUGUUGGGGAGUCUCUAGUUUUGGCUGGACAGGGGAUGAUACAGUCGUGCUGGAGAGGCCACAUGAGCUCAAGUUGAGUGGCUGAUGAGUCUGCACUAGUUUUGGGUAAAAAUGGUUUGUGCUGGAUUGGCUUCAUGAGCUAGAACUCAGUUGUUGGGGAGUCUCUAGUUUUGGCUGGACAGGGGAUGAUACAGUCGCGAUAGAGAAGCCACAUGAGCUCGAGUUUAGUUGAUGAUGAGUCUGUAGUGUUGGCUGAAGACGUGAUGCACUACUUGUUUUGGAGUGGCUGAAUGGGCUGGAGCUAGAGUUAGAGCUAGAGCUCACUGGAGGCGGAGGAUGAGUCCGUAGAUUUGUCUGCAAUGCGUAGUCCCUACAUGAUUCUAAGCUCGGUGGAGAAGUAAAUGGAUUCGGUGGCAACGCAGGCCUUGAGCUUGAAGAAUUGGUGUCUGAGGCAAAUCUCGGCGGAGAAAUCAGGGGUAGUUUUUCACUUGGCUUCUUUUUAUCAUCUUUUUCACCCCACAACCAGCGAAUAAUAACGGAGAGGAUUUGACCCAUUGAAUCACCCGUCCCCCCCUUCUUUUUCUUCUUCCUUCAUCAAGGAGCCUGUAAACAUAGAAAUGUCCCUUGUCAUGAAAACCAUGCGGGCGUGCACUGCAAUGUCAAUGGACUUGACACAGGUCCCACCAACAUUGCAUUAAAUUUUCCUUCUCGGACAAGUAAGAUAAGGAAUGCCUCUGCCACACACUGUUGAGAAAUAUAAGAAGAUAUUACCCACAAAGCCUAUCAUGUUAACAUUCAAGUCAUCCCACAUCGGAAUAAGAGAGAGGCUUUUCGGUCUCACCCCAUAGGGGUUCCCUCAUAAAAAGGGCUUUACAUAUCAGACCGAGACAUUAAUAGUGGGAUUCUUUUUCUUUUCAAAUCAAUAUGACUCAAAUGCAACAUUCAUUGUAUUCGGGAUUCAAAUUGUGCUGGGUUGUGCUGGAUUGGCUGCAUGAGCUAGAACUCAUUUGUUGGUGAGUCUCUAGUUUUGGCUGGACAGGGGAUGAUACAGUCGCGAUAGAGAGGCCACAUGAGCUCGAGUUGAGUUGAUUAUGAGUCUGUAGUGUUGGCUGAAGACGUGAUGCACCACUUGUUUUGGAGUGGGUGAAUGGGUUAGAGCUAGAGCUAGAGUUAGAGCUAGAGCUCAGUGGAGGCGUAGGAUGAGUCCGUAGAUUUGUCUGCAAUGUGUAGUCCCUACAUGAUCCUAAACUCGGUGGAGAAGUAAUUGGAUUUGGUUGCAACGCAGGCCUUGAGAUUGAAGAGUUGGUGUCUGAGCCCAAUCUCGGUGGAGAAAUCAGGGGUAGUUUUUCACUUGGCUUCUUUUUAUUAUCUUUUUCACCCCACAACCAGCGAAUAAUAAUGGAGAGAAUUUGAUCCAUUGAAUCACCCGUCCCCCUUAUUUUUCUUCUUUUUCUUCUUCUUCUUCAUCUAGGAGCCUGUAAACAUAGAAAUGUCCCUUGUCAUGAAAACCAUGCGGGCGUGCACUGCAAUGUCAAUGGACUUGACACAGGUCCCACCAACAUUGCAUUAAAUUUUCCUUCUCGGACAAGUAAGAUAAGGAAUGCCUCUGCCACAUACUGUUGAGAAAUAUAAGAAGAUAUUACCCACAAAGCCUAUCAU